rnacentral:lncRNA from 1 species
UGAUCUAUCUGCCUUCGGAGCUGUGGCCCGUUUGGGCGUCCCGCUUACCAGUAUCAUUGUUUGGUUUUCUGAGUCCUGAUAUAUCCUCGGAUAUCGAACAUCGUUUUUAAUAAUAUGGAACUUGUGUUUUCAUGAUAUCGUAGUAGUUUCUUUUUGGAGUUGAAGUACCCUGGAAAUCGGGUGCUGCGUAUCGUAUAUUGGAGCAGGUUUUUGUUCCAUGGUCCUGUAAUUUACCUGCUCAUACAAUGUUAAAACCUGUCAUAUGCUGAGUACACAUGUGUUCCGGCACUUUUUUCUUGCUUUGUUCCUCGUGGUUUAAGCUGUCAAAUGGCUAUCGAUAAGUUUCUACUGCCACUUCCUUCCUUGAUGUCAACUCCCUCGGUUCCUAAAUAUAAGUCUAGACAUUCCACUUCUAUUUAUUUAGGAACGGAGGAAGUACUACAGAUUUGAAGGCGGUAUCGUCACAGCAGCAGACUCCAAUCGUCGUCCUCGUCCAGCAAAUCCAUCGACCAGUUGAAUCUUGACCUGAAAGAUCUCAAACCUGAGGAAAACACUCGGGCACAGCAUCUACAGGUUUCACAGUGCCAUGAAGUAAUAAACGCAAUUCAAAUAUAUGGUACAUGAACCGGACCUGCCUUUUGGCGGGGCUAAUCUGAAAGAAACAUACACGACCUUCAGACACCAGCUGCUGAAAUUUGGAAAGUAAGCCCUUGGGCACAAGACACUGUAUUCCAUCACCCUGCAGCUUUGUAUCAAAGACAAAUUAGAAACGAGUGGAAAGUUGUUCAAUAACACUAAAUUAAAGGCUAGCAGAUGAUGCCAGACCCCAUGUAAGAAUAUUUUGUCAGUACGUACGCAAAACAUGAUAAGGGGGUAACUCAGUGAUCUCACUAAGAAAAUGUCCGUUCCCGGUGGAAAAUUGUGUCUACAUAUAUAUAGCAAAUAACUCAAACACGAACAUCUUACUGAAAACGCAAGUUCUUCUGAAUCAUCUUGCUCAAUGACUUAUAAUAGAAUUGGGACAGGGACACCACCAAUACCAAUGCAAACAAAGAUCUCUUUCUCUAUCCUAACAACACCAUGAGAGGAAACUCCUUCAUCCGAUCAUCUAAAAAACAGAGCACCCGAGCCCAUAACAUAGGAAUCACAUGCAUGAAAGGAAAAGAGUGAACCAAUCAACUCCCAAACAAAACAGUAAGGUCACCACAAUCAUAUACUCCCUCCGUCCGGAAAUACUUGUCGGAGAAAUGGAUGUAUCUAGACAUAUUUUAAUUCUAGAUACAUCCAUUUUUAUCCAUUUUUGUGACAAGUAAUUCCGGACGGAGGGAGCACUAGUAUACACAUGUACCUUUUCAUCCACAAGGGAACAUAAACCUACCUACAAAUUCCUCCUAAAACCAUCUCGAUCCAACUAAAAAAUUUCACAGGAGAGAACUCGAAACCGGUAUGACCUUUCCAGAAAGAAAAAAAAACUCAACAAGCAAGAUAGAUGUUUUGCACAAAAACAACAAUAGAACAAAAAAGUACUCCAUCCGUCUUAAAAUAAGUGUCUCAACUACAACGGAGGAAGUAAAUGUAUGACUUUAGAUCACAGGACUAUGCUUUUACGCCGUGAACAAAUAGGAGAAAAGGAUGAAUAGGCUAAUAAAUAUACACCUUUGCAUCGACACUAUGUCUGGUUGAGAUAACAUUCAAAGACAACAACAGCGGCAUAAAAAGCCCAACUUCACACUCACAAAUUAUUAGAUCCAGUAAGGGCACACAAUGUUUUUGAAAUGAGCACCUCUCAACCCCAACUUGGCGGCUGCACCGCAGAAGCGGCGGCCACUGCGGCCCCGUCGCACACCACCCCACUGGCCACCUGAUGGUGUCCUGGACUAGGGGGUGCUUGACACGUCUGCUUCCGACCAUAUGGGACGACCCGACGACCCCAAUAAUGAUCAACUAGUGGGCGACAUUCGUUGGGCCCAGAAUCGCCAAAAUGGUAUCUUUUGAAGACUUGGCGCAUACUCCGAGAACUAGAGGUCGUCUUCGUCACUAUUACCCCUAGAUGUAACUGACCUAUAUGUAAACCUUAGCCAUCCCCGGUAACUAUAUAAACUGAGGGGUGAGGAUUUGACUCCAUCAUCGGUGGCCCCAUGCAGGUCCCUCUGAGUAGUCGCAACGGUGCGAUGGCAUUUGCGGCCGAAGAUCAGGUCGACAUCGGCGUCGUUCUACGCCAGAACACCCCUGCUCCGUCUCAACCGGCCAGUUGGGGCGAAUUGAAGUUUUGACCCCUCGUCAACAUGUCGAACUCGAUGAAUCAGGACCCGCCACUCCUUCCUCACCCAUGAUGUUAGAUCAUACCAAGGAGAAGCAUGCCAUACUUUUCCAAGCCACAGCGUCAAGUCUAGCUUGGGCGAAAAACAUGUCACAGUGGAUCAAGCCUGGACCUCGAAUCCGACGAAUCAGUGCGAAAGCCAGCCAUUUUUUUUCCAAAAGCUAAGAAAGNNNNNNNNNNNNNNNNNNNNNNNNNNNNNNNNNNNNNNNNNNNNNNNNNNNNNNNNNNNNNNNNNNNNNNNNNNNNNNNNNNNNNNNNNNNNNNNNNNNNNNNNNNNNNNNNNNNNNNNNNNNNNNNNNNNNNNNNNNNNNNNNNNNNNNNNNNNNNNNNNNNNNNNNNNNNNNNNNNNNNNNNNNNNNNNNNNNNNNNNNNNNNNNNNNNNNNNNNNNNNNNNNNNNNNNNNNNNNNNNNNNNNNNNNNNNNNNNNNNNNNNNNNNNNNNNNNNNNNNNNNNNNNNNNNNNNNNNNNNNNNNNNNNNNNNNNNNNNNNNNNNNNNNNNNNNNNNNNNNNNNNNNNNNNNNNNNNNNNNNNNNNNNNNNNNNNNNNNNNNNNNNNNNNNNNNNNNNNNNNNNNNNNNNNNNNNNNNNNNNNNNNNNNNNNNNNNNNNNNNNNNNNNNNNNNNNNNNNNUGGUCGUUGAGAGCACGCCAUAUUCGAAAUUCACAAACGGGCCCAUGCUAUGCUUCCCUCUUGGCUGGCCCAUUCUCCUUUUCUUUUCGGUUAACUUUUUGAAAAGAAAGGUGUUGCGACGGGGUCGAACUCGUGACCUCAUCCGUCCAAAUGAAGCGCAACAACCACUAGGGCUUAUCACGCUCUUCUGCAAACUUACUUCGUUACUUUCUUUUGUUUCGUUCGAAAGUUCGGUUUGUUCUUUUCCUUUUUAUUUUCUUUUUUCUUUCCUUUUUAUUUUUUCUUGUUUUCUUAAAAGUGCGGUUUUAUAUAAAAAUUGUGAACUUUUUUUCUAAAAUUGAUGAACCUCUUAAAAAUUAGAUGAACUAUUUAUCAAUUUGGAUGAACUUUUUCAAAUUUGAUGUACCUUUUGAAAUCAGAUGAACUUUUUAAAAAUUCAAUGAACUUAUUUCAAGUUUGAUAUACUUUUUCUAAUUUUUUGAACUUUCUUUAACUGUUGAUGACUUUUUUUUUAAAUUUGAUGAACUUUUUUUCAAAUUCGAUGUCCUUUUUUUAAACUUAGGUGAACUUUUUUUAAACAGAUGAACUCCUUUUCAAGUUCAUGAUUUUUUUUUCAAAAUCAGUGAAUUUUUUUGGAUUCACGAAUUUUUCAUUUUUUGUGAAUUCUUUCGUUCUUUUUUGUUUCUUUUCGCCAAAUGCGAUCAAGCAAACCAGGGAAGAAAAAAAAUGAGAAAUCUAAAUGGGCCGGCACACUUGCAUGGGCGGGUGGGCUCUAGCAUAGCUCCCCGGUGCCUGAAGCGCCAGAUAAGAGCUCCCAUAAGGGCAUUCACUAGAGGCAUGGGCUAAUUCUAUCGGAUUUUUAUGUACUCGGCCACGUAUCAGAACAAAAUUUGCCUGAACAAAAUUGGGAAUCAUCUACUGUAUUUGGGCUUCCAGUGUCAUAGAAGAUUCAAAAAUUACCUUUUUUGUGUUAUUAGUUUACUUUACAUUUCUGAAAAAGUAUUAUAUUUUUUUAAAUGUUCAUUGCCCAUUAGAGAAAUCGUGCAGUGCAAUAUAAGUUUGCUUUACUAAAUAAAAAUUGAUAGCAUUCAAAAACAAUUUUGCUGAAAUUUAUAAAAUAUUCACACAUUUUAGAAAGUUUUUGCGACAUUUAAAAAUGUUUAUACAAGCAAAAUAAAUUCUCACAUAAUUCAAAAAAGUGUGUUGUAUCAUUUAAGAAAAUGUAUGUGAAAUUUCAAAACAAAUUGUUCAAAAAAUGGAUGUGCAUUUCACAAAAAAAUCAUGCGUUUGCAAAAUAUGUUCACGACCAAAUAUAUUUGAUAUGAUGUAAAAAAUAGUGCACAUAGUAUAAACAAUGUUCGUAAUAUUGAAAAAGAUUUACGGGUUACAAACAUAUGUUUGUUAAAUUUUUAAGAGAUGCUUAUAUAAUGUAAAAAAAUGUUCACGUAGUUUUAUAAAAAUGUUUAAUGUUGGGGAACGUAGCAUGCAAUUUCAAAAAAAUUCCUACGAUCACGCAAGAUCUAUCUAGGAGAUGCAUAUCAACAAGAAGGGGAGAGUGUGUCCAUGUACCCUUGUAGACCGAAAGCGGAAGCGUUAGCUUAACGCGGUUGAUGUAGUUGAACGCCUUCGCGAUCUAACCGAUCAAGCACCAAACGUACGGCACCUUCGAGUUCUGCACAUGUUCAACUCGAUGACGUCCCUCGUACUCUUGAUCCAGCAAAGUGUCAAUGGAGAGUUUCGUCAGCACGAUGGCGUGGUGACGGUGAUGGUGAUGUGAUAGUGAUGGUGAUGUGAUCCGCGCAGGGCUUCACCUAAACACUACGACGCUAUGACUGGAGGUGUAAACUGUGGAGGGGGCACCGCACACGGCUAAGAGAACAAUUGAUGUGCUAUGGGGUGCCCCCUGCCCCCGUAUAUAAAGGAGGAGAGGGAGGAGGCCGUGCCUAGGGGCGCGCCCAAGUGGGGGGAAACCCACUAGGACUCCAAGUCCUGGUAGGUUUCCCCCUUCCUUCUCAUGGAGGGGGAAAGAGUGAAGGAGCGGGAGAGGGGGAAGGAAAGGGGGGCCGCGCCCCCUUCCCCUUGUCCAAUUCNNNNNNNNNNNNNNNNNNNNNNNNNNNNNNNNNNNNNNNNNNNNNNNNNNNNNNNNNNNNNNNNNNNNNNNNNNNNNNNNNNNNNNNNNNNNNNNNNNNNNNNNNNNNNNNNNNNNNNNNNNNNNNNNNNNNNNNNNNNNNNNNNNNNNNNNNNNNNNNNNNNNNNNNNNNNNNNNNNNNNNNNNNNNNNNNNNNNNNNNNNNNNNNNNNNNNNNNNNNNNNNNNNNNNNNNNNNNNNNNNNNNNNNNNNNNNNNNNNNNNNNNNNNNNNNNNNNNNNNNNNNNNNNNNNNNNNNNNNNNNNNNNNNNNNNNNNNNNNNNNNNNNNNNNNNAACCUCCCGGUACUCCAAAAAAUACCCGAAACACUCCGGAACUAUUCUGGUGUCCAAAUAUCAUCGUCAAAUAUAUCAAUCUUUACCUCUCAAACAUUUCGAGACUCUUCGUCAUGUCCGUGAUCUCAUCCGGGACUCCGAACAAUCUUCGGUCACCAAAACACAUAACUCAUAAUACAAAUCGUUAUCAAACGUUAAGCGUGCGGACCUUACGGGUUCGAGAACUAUGUAGACAUGACCGAGACACAUCUCUGGUCAAUAACCAACAGUGGAACCUGGAUGCUCAUAGUGGUUCCUACAUAUUCUACGAAGAUCUUUAUCAGUCAAACCGCAAUGACAACAUACGUUAUUUCCUUUGUCAUCGGUGUGUUACUUGCCCGAGAUUCGAUCAUCGGUAUCUUCAUACCUAGUUCAAUCUCGUUACCGGCAAGUCUCUUUACUCGUUCCGUAAGCAUCAUCCCGCAACUAACUCAUUAGUCACAUUGCUUGCAAGGCUUAUAGUGAUGUGCAUUACCGAGAGGGCCCAGAGAUACCUCUCCGAUACACGGAGUGACAAAUCCUAAUCUCGAUCUAUGCCAACCCAACAAACACCUUCGGAGACACCUGUAGAGCAUCUUUAUAAUCACCCAGUUACGUUCUGACAUUUGAUAGCACACAAGGUGUUCCUCCGGUAUUCAGGAGUUGCAUAAUCUCAUAGUCAAAGGAAUAUGUAUAAGUCAUGAAGAAAGCAAUAGCAAUAAAACUUAACGAUCAUUAUGCUAAGCUAACGGAUGGGUCUUGUCCAUCACAUCAUUCUCCUAAUGAUGUGAUCCCAUUCAUCAAAUGACAACACAUGUCUAUGGUCAGAAAACUUAACCAUCUUUGAUUAAUGAGCUAGUCAAGUAGACGCAUACUAGGGACACUCUAUUUUGUCUAUGUAUUCACACAUGUAUCAAGUUUCCAGUUAAUACAAUUCUAGCAUGAAUAAUAAACAUUUACCAUGAUAUAAGGAAAUGUAAAUAACAACUUUAUUAUUGCCUCUAGGGCAUAUUUCCUUCAGUCUCCCACUUGCACUAGAGUCAAUAAUCUAGAUAACAUUGUAAUGAUUCUAACACCCAUGGAGUCUUGGUGUUGAUCAUGUUUUGCUCGUGGAAGAGGCUUAGUCAACGGGUCUGCAACAUUCAGAUUUGUAUGUAUUUUGCAAAUCUCUAUAUCUCCCUCCUUUGACAUGAUCGCGGAUGGAGUUAAAGCGUCUCUUGAUGUGUUUGGUUCUCUUGUGAAAUCUGGAUUCCUUCACUAAGGCAAUUGCUCCAGUAUUGUCACAAAAGAUUUUCAUUGGACCCGAUGCACUAGGUAUUACACCUAGAUCGGAUAUGAACUCCUUCAUCUAGACUCCUUCAUUUGCUGCUUCCGAAACAGCUAUGUACUCCGCUUCACACGUAGAUCCCGCCACGACGCUUUGCUUGGAACUGCACCAACUGACAGCUCCACCAUUCAAUAUAAAUACAUAUUCGGUUUGCGACUUAGAGUCAUCCAGAUCAGUGUGAAAGCUAGCAUCGACGUAACUAUUUACGACAAGCUCUUUGUCACCUCCAUAAAAAGUGUUUCAUCACAUACAUUAAAAAAAUGUACAUUAUGUGUUUAUUGAAGGAAAUAUGCCCUAGAGGCAAUAAUAAAGUUGUUAUUUAUAUUUCCUUAUAUCAUGAUAAAUGUUUAUUAUUCAUGCUAGAAUUGUAUUAACUGGAAACUUAGUACAUGUGUGAAUAUAUAGACAAACUAAGUAUCACCAGUAUGCCUCUACUUGACAAGCUCGUUGAAUCAAAGAUGGUUAAGUUUCCUAGCCAUAGACAUGAGUUGUCAUUUGAUUAACGGGAUCACAUCAUUAGAGAAUGAUGUGAUUGACUUGACCCAUUCCGUUAGCUUAGCAUUUCAUCGUUUAGUAUAUUGCUAUUGCUUUCUUCAUGACUUAUACAUGUUCCUAUGACUAUGAGAUUAUGCAACUCCUGAAUACCGGAGGAACACUUUGUGUGCUACCAAACGUCACAACGUAACUGGGUGAUUAUAAAGGUGCUCUACAGGUGUCUCCGAAGGUACUUGUUGGGUUGGCAUAGAUCGAGAUUAGGGUUUGUCACUCCGAUUGUCGGAGAGGUAUCUCUGGGCCCUCUCGGUAAUGCACAUCACUAUAAGCCUUGCAAGCAAUGCAACUAACGAGUUAGUUGCGGGAUGAUGUAUUACGGAAUGAGUAAAGAGACUUGCCGGUAACGAGAUUGAACUAGGUAUUGAGAUAUCGACGAUCGAAUCUCGGGCAAGUAACGUACCGAUGACAAAGGGAACAACAUAUGUUGUUAUGCGGUUUGACCGAUAAAGAUCUUCGUAGAAUAUGUGGGAGCCAAUAUGAGCAUCCAGGUUCCGCUAUUGGUUAUUGACCGGAGACGUAUCUCGGUCAUGUCUACAUAGUUCUCAAACCCGUAGGGUCCGCACGCUUAAAGUUCAGUGGCGAUCGGUAUUAUGAGUUUUUGUGUUUUGAUGUACCGAAGGUAGUUCGGAGUACCGGAUAUGAUCACGGACAUGACGAGGAGUCUUGAAAUGGCCGAGACGUAAAGAUCGAUAUAUUUGACGACUAUGUUCAGGACACCGGAAAUGUUUCGGGAGGUUUCGGACAUAUACCGGAGUACCGGGGGGUUACCGGAACCCCCCGGGGAGUUUAUUGGGCCUAUUGGGCCCUAGUGGGAGAAGAGGAGGGGCGGCCAGGGCAGCCGCGCCCCCCUCCCCCUCUAGUCCGAAUUGGACAAGGAGGGGGGGGGGCGCCCCCCUUUCCUUCUCUUCCUCUUUCCCUUCCCUCUCCUACUCCUACUUGGAAUGAGGGAGUGGGAGUAGGACUACUCAUGGGGCGCGCCAUAGGGGGCCGGCCCCCUCCCCCUCCUCCACUCCUUUAUAUACGGGGAGGGAGGCACCCCUUGGAGACACAACAAUUGAUCAUUGAUCUCUUAUCCGUGUGCGGUGCCCCCUCCACCAUAAUCCACCUCGAUCAUAUCGUAGCGGUGCUUAGGCGAAGCCCUGCAUCGGUAGCAACAUCAUCACCGUCAUCACACCGUCGUGCUGACAAAACUCUCCCGUGAAGCUCUGCUGGAUCGGAGUUCGUGGGACGUUAUCGAGCUGAACAUGUGCUGAACUCGGAGGUGUCGUGCAUUCGGUACUUGGAUCGGUCGGAUCGUGAAGACGUACGACUACAUCAACCGCGUUGUUCUAACGCUUCCGCUUUCGGUGUACGAGGGUACGUGGACACACUCUCCCCUCUUGUUGCUAUGCAUCACCAUGAUCCUGCAUGUGCGUAGGAUUUUUUCUGAAAUUACUACGUUCCCCAACAGUGGCAUCCGAGCCAGGUUUAUGUGUCGGUGUACAAAAAGAGGGGUGCGUUUUUGUACCCCUAUACCUGUGCACGGGCAGUCGGAGCCGCGCCUACGGUCACGUCAAGCAAAGCAGGGGAGGUGAGCCAAGGUAAGACCAAAGCCCAUGAAAUCAGAGCAACGCCAAGGCCAAGACCACAAAGAGCAUAGGGACAAAGCAGGUUCCCCCGGCAAGACCCUUGCCAGGGGCAGCCUCAACAGCCCCGACAAGACCCUUGCCGGGGCAGCUCGCCCCAUACCAACAGAGCGAGCCACCCUUGAGCCCACGGUCCCCAACACCAUCAUCCACGUGGGGCCAAAGCUCGGGAGGCACCUCUGUGGUGGCAUGCAGAUCUUUGUGAAGACAUACUCAAGAUCAGAUGAGGAUUAGAAGACGACAAUCCUUGGCAAGAUCCUUGCCGAGGGAGGCCACCAGACCCCCGGCAAGGCACUUGCCGGGGACGACAGUGCGCCACGGCAAGGCCCUUGCCAGGCCACACGGCUAGACCCUUGCCGGGCCACCCGGCAAGGCCCUCCCCAAGGACGUCAGCAGAGCCACCGCCAGGUCCACGCCAACCAAGCUUCCACCGCCGCUCACACGCAGCUGCCAGCCCAACUAGCUGGGCGGGCACCUGCGUGGCAACAUGCAGCCCCCAGGCCAACUCAUCGAACGCCUGCGUGGCGGCAUGCAAAUCUUCAUGAAGGCUCCACCACCGUGCCACCUCAGCUGCUUGCCUGCCUACAUGGCGCCGCACGCAUCGCCGGCCAAGGCGCGUGUCAAAGCGAGGAGGAGCGGCGACGGACGAGAUGGGCCUCGCCCCCGUCCCCAAUAAAGCAAGGGACACCUAAGUUACACAUUAAAUGCGUCUUGUCCUGUAAUACGAGCGAUAAGCUCAGGGCACUGUAUGCCUUCCACCUCCUGUGUGCCACUGUGGCAGCCCCUUUCGACUAUAAAAGGAGGCCCACGGCAUACUGGAGAAGGAUUCGGCUCUUUCGAACCACGCACUGACCACAGCUAGUUCGAGAGCUCAAGAACUCUCUGAAAUACACCCACCAAAGCAGGACUAGGGUUUUACGCAUCCUCGCGGCCCGAACCUGGAUAAACGAUCCUUGUGCUGUCUACUAGCCCUGCUCUUCUCGCAACCCCGCGCCCCGGCAACCGUAGUAGGGAUUCUUGUGAUCCCAUAGGUGUCGUUCCACACCGACAUCUUUGGCGCGCCAGGUAGGGGGGCGCAAUUGUGAGAACCUGGUCUAGUAGUUAGCCUAGCAAUUCUUCGUCGCCAUGGCUCCGAAGAAGAAGACAGCCACGGAGAUCGGCUCGUUGGGAGCCGAACGGCCCGUGCCGGUGUGGACGAGUAGUGGACCCGUCGCAGACAGGACCCGGGCCGCGGUCCGCGAGCACCAGCAUCGCCCAGGCAGUCAGAGCCUGGCGAGCGGUGUCGUUCGUGCACCAGACGACCGGCCACACGUCGCCAGAUCCAAAGACGGAGCCGGGCCCCCCGCAGGCUACGCGGGGCCCUCCAGGGGCGUCGUUGUGCCACCUCCAGGCGGCGCAGCAACCUUCAAGACACAGACACCGGCGACCACCGCGCGCUCUUCCCAUGGCGCGCGCGCGCCGAGCAGCGUCACCACAUUGGUGACCCUGGGCACCGCCGUGGGAAGAGCCCUAUGCGCCAUCCGCAAGAUGAAGGGGUUCAGCACGCUCGCCGAAGCGCUGGCGAAAAUGGCGCGCAGCCGCUGGGUCGUAACGGAGCUCCUUCUAACAUAGUUAGAAGUCGAAGCGCGCCGCGAUCCACGUAGCUGUCGCCGCCGCCCACGCCAGUGGAAGCUUUGGCGCGCGCGCAGCUGCUCCUCGACUUCCCUCCUGUUGCGGAGAAGCUCGACGAGUGGAGGGCCACCAUCCGGAGCCUCGUCGCCGUCGCAAACAAAGACGAUCCGUGACCGGCGGGGCCCUCGGGUCGGCGCUCCACCGAGCCACCACAUGCUGGCACUGGGAGGACUGGGGGAGCUGCGGCCACGGUGCACUCUCCUCCUCCUCGCCAGCCGUCGCGGGCGUCUGCCCGUCGCGACGACGCUUGUGAUAACAUCUCCAUAGCGUCGUCCGACCCGUGGACCCUCCGCGACCAGCGCCAGGUCCUUUGGGAGCGAGCUCACGAAGACGCUCGAACCACCGUCGAGCGCCGGCGCGAAACGCACCGCCAGUCGGACAAGCGGGCGGGACCCGCUAUGGACCACCCGGCACCGGGGGGGGGGGGCUCCGGCGGCCUACCUUACGAGGUAGGCUGCCCGGCCUUUACCCGUGAGCUGCGGCAGUUCCAGUGGCCAUCCCACCGCACGUUCAAGCCCGACGUCGGCGAGAAGUACACUGGCAAGACCCAUCCGUCCAAGUUCCUCAGCAUCUACACCAUCGCGAUGCAGGCCGCUGGGGCUCGCGACGACAAGGUGCUUGCCAACUAUUUCCCGCUGGCGCUCAAGGCCAAUGUGAUGUCCUGGUUGAUGCACUUGCCGGUGGAUUCCAUUUCUUCUUGGUCGGAUCUGUGCCAUGAGUUCGUUGGCGCCUUCACAAGAGGCCACCAAGCUCAUGGCCAGGCCAGUGAUCUGCAUAUCAUUCCCCAGAAGGAAGGGGAGAACCUGCACAAGUACAUCCAGAGAUUCAGCCGGGUGCAGUACAACAUCCCCGACGUUCAUCCCGCCGCUGUGAUUAGCGCGUUCCACCAGAACGUGCGCAACCGCAAAAUGCGGGAAGAGCUGCGAUGACCAAGGUUAAGGAUGUGGCCGAGCUCUACGUUCUGGCCGAUAGGUGUGCCCGGGCUGAAGAGGGAAGGAAGUACCCCGGCGAAGACACCGGUGCGGAAACCGACUCUACCGAUGAAGACGCUACCACCCCGAUGAAGAAGGGCCGGCGUCACAACAGGAAACGCAAAGGCAAGGCCGUGCUUGCCGUUGAGGGAUCCGACGAUACCGGAGCCAGCAAGAAGGUCAAGGCAGACGCCCCUGGCAAGAAGAUUGCCAGGUGCGCCGCCUGCCGGGCCUUGGCGGCUACCGACAAGACAGGAAGCUCCGGCAAGCAAUACUGCAAGAUCCACCGCACCAAGGGCCACGACCUCCAGAACUGCCGACAAGUCGAGCUGCUUGCUGAGAAGCAAAAGGCUGAGUACGAGAGGCGGCACAAGGAGAAGGACCAGGACGAUGCUGAGGGAUCCGGCAAGAAGCGUGGCGGCCAAGGAGGCCGCCCCGGCAAGGACAACCAGCAAGAGAGGCCCGCCCGGGGCCGUGACAAGAAACAAGAAGACGAUGAUCACGACGAGUCUGGUGAGCAAGGGUUCCAGAAGGCGACGGAGGCCAUGUGCAUCGAUGGCGGCGCCUCGCUGCAUACCUCUCACCGCCAGCUCAAGCAGUGGGCGCGUGAGAUUACAGCAGCAGAGCCGUCGUUCGACGCUCAGAAGCCGCUGAAGUGGUCCAGCACGCCCCUCAUCUUUGACGUCGAGGACCACCCUGACCGUACCGCCGCGGUCGGAUGUUUGCCAUUGUUGGUCUCACCAACGAUACGCAACCUCAGGGUGAACAAGAUGUUGGUUGACGGCGGGGCCGGACUGAACCUGAUCUCGCCUGUCGUGAUAAAAAAGUUGCAAAUCCCUGAUGGAGACCUCGAGGAAACGGGCAUGUUUCAAGGGGUCAGUCUGGGGAGGAGCCAGCCGAAGGGGAAGGUCACGCUGCCCGUGACAUUUGGAGGAGAGUUGAAUUACAGGACGGAGAGGAUCGUUUUCGACGUGGCCGAGAUCCCCUUGCCCUACAACGAGAUCCUCGACCGCCCGACACUAGCCAAGUUCAUGGCGGCGUCACACUACGCCUACAACAUGCUAAAGAUGCCCGGGCCGUUGAACAUCAUCUCCGUCCCCUCCGACAAGAAAGACGCGCUGAUCUGCGCUGACCAACUCUACCGGGAAGCAGUUGCAGCGGCUGCCGUCAAGGCACCUGCUCCUGCCGCUGAAGGCCCGGGAGGGAAGAAGAAGCCCGGCAAGACCUCUCGCACCCACUCCGGCAAGCGCACCUCCUUGGAGUGUUGUGCUACCGUCGAGGACGUGCCAGAGAGCUCUACCGACAAGAGCAAGAGAUCCAGAGCCGAGCCACCGCAGACUAAGAAGGUGUCCUUCAGGGAGGAUGGCACGGGAGGGGCCUUCACCAUAGGCUCCACCCUCGACAGCAAAUAGGAAGGCGCGCUCGUCACCUUCCUGCGGGCGAAUGUCGACGUGUUUGCAUGGCAAGCAUCCGACAUCCCCGGUGUUCCCAGGGAGGUGAUUGAGCACCACCUAGCCGUCUGCCCCCCACGCGCGGCCCGUCAAGCAGAAGGUCCGAAAGCAGGCUCUGGAGAGUCAGGAGUUCAUCACAGAGGAGAUCAGGAAGUUGGAAGCGGCAGGUUUGGUGAGAGGAGUGCUCCACCCGACGUGGUUGGCCAAUCCGAUAGUGGUGCGCAAGGUGAAUGGGAAGUGGAGGCUGUGUAUUGAUUACACAGAUAUCAAUAAGGCUUGUCCUAAGGACCCCUUCCCGUUGCCGCGCAUCGACCAGAUUGUUGACUCCACAGCCGGGUGUGAUCUGUUAUCAUUCCUCGAUGCCUACUCCGGCUACCACCAGAUCUUCAUGACAAGAGAGGAUGAAGAGAAGACAGCAUUCAUCACCCCAUGUGGUACAUAUUGCUUUUUACGGAUGCCUUUCGGGUUGAAGAGUGCUGGCUCAACGUUCGCAAGAGCAGUCCAAAUUGGUUUUGAACAUCAGCUCCAUAGAAAUAUGGAGGCAUACAUGGAUGACAUAGUAGUCAAAACCAAGGACGGGCCAACUCUUGUGCAAGAUCUGGAAGAGACAUUUGCCAACCUGCGCAAGAUCAACCUCAAGCUGAACCCUGAGAAGUGCGUCUUCGGUGUCCCAUCCGGCAAGCUUCUCGGGUUCUUUGUGUCACAGCGCGGGAUCGAGGCAAACCCAGACAAAAUCAAGGCUAUUGAGAAGAUUGAGGCGCCCAAGCGGAUCAACGAUGUGCGUCGGCUCACUGGCUGCGUUGCCGCCAUGAGCCGAUUCAUCUCCAAGUCCGCCGAGCGCGCCCUCCCCUUCUUCAAAAUCUUGAAGAAGGCAGGCCCAAUGGAGUGGACCCCAGAAGCCGAAGCAGCAUUGCAGGAUCUGAAGAAAUACCUUUCCUCCACGCCAAUACUGGUUGCGCCUAAAUCACAAGAGCCGUUGCUGCUAUAUCUGGCAGCGACGAAUCAAGUGGUCAGCGCCGCACUGGUGGCACAGAGGAAGGUCGAUGAGGAGGCAGUGACGGCGGCAGAACUAGCGGAUGGCAAGCCAAAGAUUCCCUCGGCAGGGCCUGGUGCCGGCAAGGUGCGGCCCCCGGCAGAGUCUGAUGCCACCAAGGCAGUGCCCGCGCAGUCGAGUGAGGUGGUGCAGAAGAAGAAGAUGAUGCAGCACCCGGUUUACUUUGUCAGCUCCCUCUUGCAGGGGGCUAGGUCGAGGUAUUCCGAUGUGCAAAAGUUGCUCUUCGUACUCCUUAUGGCCUCGAGGAAGCUGCAUCAUUACUUCCAAGCCCACGAGAUCACUGUCGUCACCCGCCUCCCGUUGCAACGGAUACUGCAUAACCCAGAUGCCACCGGAAGGAUUGUGGAAUGGGCCUUGGAGAUAUCAAGUUUCGGUUUGAAGUUUGAAAGUACCUCGACAAUUCAGAGCAGAGUCUUGGCGGAGUUCAUUGCAGAAUGGACCUCGACGCCUGACAAAGAAAUCCAGGAGACCACUCUCCCCGGCAAGGAAGCAGACCGCGACUGGAUCAUGUACUUUGAUGGGGCUCUCUCGCUGCAAGGCGCCGGUGCCGGUGUGCUGCUCGUCGCGCCCACCGGAGAGCACCUCAAGUACGUGAUCCAGAUGCACUUCCCCAGGGAGAUGUCCAACAACACUGCUGAGUACGAGGGAUUGCUCGCCGGUCUCAGGAUCGCGGCAGACCUCGGGGUUAAGAAGCUCAUCGUCAGAGGUGACUCGCAGCUCGUUGUCAGACAGGUCAACAAGGAUUAUCAGAGCCCAUUGAUGGAAGCCUAUGUAGACGAGGUGAGGAAGUUGGAGGAACGCUUUGACGGUAUCCAAGCGGAGCACAUCCCCCGAGUGGAAAACGACAUCGCCGAUUACCUGUCAAAGCGUGCUGCAUUCAAGUUACCUGUGGAACCAGGUACCUUUUUGCUCCGGUUAACUCAACCAUCCGUCGAGCCAUCAACAGGGCAGAACAAGCGGAGGAAGUCAGGUCCCGGCAAGUACUUUCCUACCGAGCCCCCUGGGGCUGCCGGCAAGGGUGCUGCCGCGGACGCUGAGCCUGCCCAAGAGCAACUGGCUCCGACAGGGCGUCAAGCCCUGGCCGUAGAGACAACCGCUCCCAUGGCAGAAGAAAUGCCUUUGGUCCUUGCUGUUGAGCCCCGGGCUCCGGCAUGGGCGCAGCAUACCGUCCAAUUCCUCCAAACAGGGGAGCUUCCUGAGGAGCAGGAAGAAGCGGAAAGAGUAGCCCGUCGGUCCGCCCUGUACCAGUUCGUCGAUGACAUCCUGUACAGGAGAAGGCCAAACGGUGUGAAAUUGAAGUGCAUCCCCCUGGAGGAAGGACUGGAGCUGUUGGCGGAGAUACACGGGGGCAUAUGUGGCUCCCACAUAGGGUCGAGGGCCCUUGCCGGGAAGGCGUUCCGGCAGGGUUUCUUCUGGCCCACCGCCCUCCAGGAUGCGACGGCACUAGUAACCAAGUGUGAAGCGUGCCAGUUCCAUUCAAAGAAGCUUCAUCAACCAGCUCAAGCCCUUCAAACAAUCCCUCUCUCCUGGCCAUUCUCGGUCUGGGGGCUCGAUAUACUAGGCCCUUUCCCCCGCGCUGUCGGGGGCUUUGAGUACUUGUACGUUGCAAUCGACAAGUUCACAAAGUGGCCGGAGGUGGAAGUAGUGAGAAAGGUGACUGCUCAGUCAGCCGUCAAGUCCUUCAAGGGACUGGUCUGCCGUUUUGGUGUGCCAAACAGAGUCAUCACCGACAACGGCACGCAGUUCACAAGCCACACCUUCAUGGAAUACAUUCAAGACCUCGGUAGCAAGGUCUGUUUUGCUUCCGUGGCACACCCACGGAGCAACGGCCAAGCGGAAAGGGCAAAUGCUGAAGUGUUGCGAGGCCUGAGAACGAAGACCUUUGACAAGCUGCACAAGAGUGGAAGGCGCUGGAUUGAUGAGUUGCCGGCGGUUCUUUGGUCGAUCAGGACGACGCCAAACUGAGCCACCGGCCAGACACCUUUUGCCCUGGUAUACGGGGCAGAAGCAGUUCUCCCCACGGAACUCAUAUACAGGUCACCUCGAGUGCUCGCUUAUGAUGAGCGUGAGCAAGAGCAGUUGCGCCAAGAUGACGCGACGCUCCUUGAGGAAGAUCGUCUUCGGGCGGCUGUGAGAGCAGCACGCUACCAGCAAGCCUUGCGCCGCUACCAAGCCGCAAGGUUCAUGCCCGAAGCUUUGAGGAAGGCGACCUUGUUCUUCGGCGCGUUCAGUCGGACAAGAAUUCCAACAAGUUGACGCCGAAGUGGGAAGGCCCUUAUCGGGUAAUGCGAGUCACCAGGCCCGGUGCAGUCCGCCUGGAGACCGAAGAUGCCGUCCCAGUGAGCAACUCCUGGAACAUCGAGCAUCUUCGCAAGUUUUACCCAUAAGGCGCGGCUUGCCGGGCCUCCCGGCAAGCCACCUUUUGUACAAGCUUUGCCGGCAAGGCAUGUGACCCUUUGUACAAAGCCAUGCGCAGACCCUGAGCAUAAAUAAAUGAAGCGCUGGCGCCCUAAGUUAUAGCAUGCAUGCUAGGUCAAGUCUCUUCCUUGGUUAGGGUUGAUAGUGCUUAGCGGCGACUAACCCCUAGCCUAGAGGUCGAGUGCGCGUCUAUCUGUUCCUUUUCUGUCCUCCUUUGGUUCGCAGGGCACAUGGGCACUUCUGCUGAGCUACUUGGAAAUAAGGAAACGGACCAAUGUCCCGACCCCGGCAAACCAGAGUUGCCAGGGGCUGCAAGCACAAGGAUCCAACCGCGUCAAGACAAAGUUGCCGGGGGCUGCAGAUCCAGAUAAGUCUUUCAUCCUCUAUCAUGCAUUUCGGAACAGGACUGGGGCAUGUGAAACCUCGUUUUUAUCUCUAGGCUGCCGUGCUCCCCUUUUUCCCAUACCUAAGGAUUAUUUCCUGGGUCCGGAUUUGGUUGUAGCCGCGGCAGCAAGGAGGUAGAAUGAGGAGUCUAAAGCCCACUUCAUCCCUGCCUCCGCCAAGAGCGCGAGAACAGUCGAGUGGAGUGGGGGAACGGCAAGGCCUGUUGCCGGGCGAAAAACGUUUAUCUUAAACAAUAACAAGGAUUCGCUCCUUGUCGCGGGAUUUACCCACGAGCGAAAAACCCGGCAAGCAUCCCUUUUUCAUUAAAAAACAUCCCAUACAGGUACAGUUCGUACGAAAUGAAAAACAUGAGCAAGGGGAUUACAAGUUCUAAAUUUAACAAAGGCCCGAAGGCUUACAAACUAAAAAAGAGAUAAGAUGCCCGUAAUCCCUUUCUUGUCCCUCUCCUCAGGAGGCAAGUCAAGGAGGCGAAAGGGCAAAAGGGGUGCCUAGGCGAGCUACGAGCAGCAGAAAACACCAAGAGAACACCCCGGUGGCCGCCCAAGGGUGGGCCGGUGAUGACGGUGCCGGGAAAGGAGCUGGAAGACGAGGCGGCAGGACCGGCAAUACGCGAUGAAGGCGUCGGUGCCCGAGUACUCCGAGUUGACGGCCUUGCCGCCUGCCCUCUUCCUCUUCCGCAGCCUCACGAUGCCAGCCACCCAAGGAGACGGCCUCGAGAAGUUCAAGGAGCUGGCCCCGCCCCCGGCAAACCUCUGCCGGAGGAGCGGCCAGGUCCAGAUGAUGCUGCUGCUGCACCCUCCCAGGCGCGGGGCGUCCGACGCCUAGUCGGACUCGUCCCCGUCAUCUGCCCCGCUGUCCUCCUCAUCACUCUCGCUCGAGGAAGAGCUUCCAUCAUCGGAAUCUCCAUCGGAGGAGCUCUCCAUGCAGCACUUCAGGCGAGUUCCGAACUCCCCGAAGACCUUGACGGAGAGCAGGCCGUCCUCCAUUAAUUUGAAGUAGAGGACGAGCCCCGCCGUCAGGCUGUGGAUGCGAGCGAACGUCUUCCACCCACGACGGAGGUACAUGACCCGAGGAGCCGGGAAGUCGACGUUGAGCCACGUGCCCCCAUUCCCACAACCCCUCAUGUGCAAUCUGAGGGAUUGGGGCCGGUCACGCUCCAUCUCCCGAGCAAACGGGGCGGGAAGACGGAGACGGCGAUGCGGAGGCCGGCGCAGCCUAAUGAAGAACUCGCGGGGCUGGUCUCCGACGUGGCCUUCCAUCGGGAAAGGCACCAUUAGCGGAGGCGAAGCCGGCGCGCCACCCCGUCCUCCUCUUCCCCGAGCACUACGACCUCUGCCACGGCCUCGCCCCCUCCCCCUUCCCCUCGCGGCCGGUUCCACCGCCACGGGCUCAGGAGGAGGAGGGACGCGCUGUCGAGCGGCGACCCUCGCCGCCACCGUCAAGGGACCCGGGUUCCCUUUGUCCAUGGCGAGUGAAAGGAAGAAGCAGAAGCAAGAGGAGAUAAAUGACAGAAGAAUGCGGGACGCCAUCCCCCCUUCCCCCUCUUUAUAAAGGGGCAGGGUCGGGGCUCGGCCGCCCCGCUCGGCCAAUCCAGCCACCAGAGGUGCAGGGAAUCAGGACCGACCCGCUGCCCCAACCAGCGACGGCCCGGUUCCCCGCCUCCACCGCUUGCCACCCCAGGCGCAUGAAGGACGCGUGGCGGACGUGCAGAACUGAAGGGGCAGGUGAAGCGACAUCUCGCCACCUCGUGAUCGUGGGGAAUGGACGCCUUGAAGACCAUGGCCCGGCCCCAUUCAAUAAAUGAGCCGCGCCUCCACGCCUCCCUCUUUUACGGGGAAGGUGCGAGCCGCCUCUUUACUGCGAUGUGAUGCAUGCAUGUGGAAAUCGCCCCACGCAUGCCGCCCACGUCACGCACGGCCCUCCACACCGUGCCACGCGCGCGGGUCGUGGGAAGCGCAAAGCGCGAAAAGUCUUACCGCGGUAAAAACCACCCCGUCUGCCCGUGCACCGUUUUGGGCCUGGCCCAACAACGUGUCGCGCUUAUGUGUGGCCCAGGCCCGGGGGCUCCUGUCGGUGUACAAAAAGAGGGGUGCGUUUUUGUACCCCUAUACCUGUGCACGGGCAGUCGGAGCCGCGCCUACGGUCAUGCCAAGCAGAGCAGGGGAGGUGAGCCAAGGUAAGACCGAAGCCCAGGAUAAUCAGAGCAACGCCAAGGCCAAGACCACAAAGAGCAGAGGGACGAAGCAGGUUCCCCCGGCAAGACCCUUGCCGGGGGCAGCCUCAGCAGCCCCGUCAAGACCCUUGCCGGGGCAGCUCGCCCCAUGCCAACAGAGCGAGCCACCCCUGAGCCCACGGUCCCCAACACCAUCAUCCACGUGGGGCCAAGGCUCGGGAGGCACCUCUGUGGUGGCAUGCAGAUCUUUGUGAAGACAUACUCAAGAUAAGAUGAGGAUUAGAAGACGACAAUCCUCGGCAAGAUCCUUGCCGAGGAAGGCCACCAGACCCCCGGCAAGGCCCUUGACGGGGACGACAGCGCGCCACGGCAAGACCCUUGCCGGGCCACACGACAAGACCCUUGCCGGGCCACCCGACAAGGACCUCCCCAAGGACGUCAGCAGAGCCACCGCCAGGUCCACGCCAACCAAGCUUCCACCGCCGCUCACACGCAGCUGCCAGCCCAACCAGCUGGGCGGGCACCUGCGUGGCAACAUGCAGCCCCCAGGCCAACUCAUCGAACGCCUGCGUGGCGGCAUGCAGAUCUUCGUGAAGGCUCGACCACCGCGCCACCUCAGCUGCCUGCCUGCCUACAUGGCGCCGCACACAUCGCCAGCCAAAGCGCGUGUCAAAGCGAGGAGGAGCGGCGACGGACAGGACGGGCCUCGCCCCCGUCCCCAAUAAAGCAAGGGGACACCUAAGCUAUGCAUUAAAUGCGUCUUGUCCUAUAAUACGAGCGAUAAGCUCAGGGCACUGUACGCCUUUCCACCUCCUGUGUGCCACUGUGGCAACCCCUUUCGACUAUAAAAGGAGGCCCGUGGCAUACUGGAGAAGGAUUCGGCUCUUUCGAACCACGCAUUGACCACAGCUAGUUCGAGAGCUCAAGAACUCUCUGAAAUACACCCACCAAAGCAGGACUAGGGUUUUACGCAUUCUCGCGGCCCGAACCUAGGUAAACGAAGUUUGUGCUGUCUACUAGCCCUGCUCUUCUCGCAACCCCGCGCCCCGACAACCGUAGUAGGGAUUCUUGUGAUCCCAUAGGUGUCGUUCCACAGCGACAUUAUGCGUAGAUGUUAUAUGCACGAGUAGAACACAAGUGAGUUGUGGGCGAUACAAGUCAUAUUGCUUACCAGCAUGUCAUACUUUGAUUCGGCGGUAUUGUUGGAUGAAGCGGCCCGGACCGACAUUACGCGUACGCUUACACGAGGCUGGUUCUACCGACGUGCUUUGCACACAGGUGGCUGGCGGGUGUCAGUUUCUCCAACUUCAGUUGAAUCGAGUGUGGCUACGCCCGGUCCUUGUGAAGGUUAAAAUAGCGCAUACUUGAAGAAAUAUCGUUGUAGUUUUGAUGCGUAAGUAAGAACGGUUCUUGCUCAGCCCGCAGCAGCCACGUAAAACUUGCAACAACAAAGUAGAGGACGUCUAACUUGUUUUUGCAGGGCAUGUUGUGAUGUGAUAUGGUCAAGACAUGAUGCUAAAUUUUAUUGUAUGAGAUGAUCAUGUUUUGUAACCGAUUUAUCGACAACUGGCAGGAGCCAUAUGGUUGUCGCUUUAUUGUAUGAAAUGCAAUCGCCAUGUAAUUGCUUUACUUUAUCACUAAGCGGUAGCGAUAGUCGUAGAAGCAAUAGUUGGCGAGACGACAAUGAUGAGAUCAAGGUGUCGCGCCGGUGACGAUGGUGAUCAUGACGGUGCUUUGGAGAUGGAGAUCAAAGGCACAAGAUGAUGAUGGCCAUAUCAUAUCACUUAUAUUGAUUGCAUGUGAUGUUUAUCUUUUAUGCAUCUUAUUUUGCUUAGAUCGACGGUAGCAUUAUAAGAUGAUCUCUCACUAAAUUUCAAGGUAUAAGUGUUCUCCCUAAGUAUGUGUUGGAAAUAUGCCCUAGAGGCAAUAAUAAAUGGUUAUUAUUAUAUUUCUUUGUUCAUGGUAAUUGUCUAUUAUUCAUGCUAUAAUUGUAUUGUCCGGAAAUCGUAAUACAUGUGUGAAUACAUAGACCACAACGUGUCCCUAGUAAGCCUCUAGUUGACUAGCUCGUUGAGCAACAGAUAGUCAUGGUUUCCUGACUAUGGACAUUGGAUGUCAUUGAUAACGGGAUCACAUCAUUCGGAGAAUGAUGUGAUGGACAAGACCCAAUCCUAAGCAUAGCAUAAAAGAUCGUGUAGUUUCGUUUGCUAGAGAUUUUCCAAUGUCAAGUAUCUUUUCCUUAGACCAUGAGAUCGUGCAACUCCCGGAUACCGUAGGAGUGCUUUGGGUGUGCCAAACGUCACAACGUAAUUGGGUGACUAUAAAGGUGCACUACAGGUAUCUCCGAAAGUGUCCGUUGGGUUGGCACGGAUCGAGACUGGGAUUUGUCACUCCGUGUGACGGAGAGGUAUCUCUGGGCCCACUCGGUAAUGCAUCAUCAUAAUGAGCUCAAUGUGACUAAGGCGUUAGUCACGGGAUCAUGCAUUGCGGUACGAGUAAAGAGACUUGCCGGUAACGAGAUUGAACAAGGUAUUGGGAUACCGACGAUCGAAUCUCGGGCAAGUAACAUACCGAUUGACAAAGGGAAUUGUAUACGGGAUUGAUUGAAUCCUCGACACCGUGGUUCAUCCGAUGAGAUCAUCGUGGAACAUGUGGGAGCCAACAUGGGUAUCCAGAUCCCGCUGUUGGUUAUUGACUGGAGAGACGUCUCGGUCAUGUCUGCAUGUCUCCCGAACCCGUAGGGUCUACACACUUAAGGUUCGGUGACGCUAGGGUUGUAGAGAUAUGUGUAUGCGGAAACCCGAAAGUUGUUCGGAGUCCCGGAUGAGAUCCCGGACGUCACGAGAGGUUCUGGAAUGGUCCGGAGGUGAAGAAUUAUAUAUAGGAAGUCCAGUUUCGGCCACCGGGAAAGUUUCGGGGGUUACCGGUAUUGUACCGGGACCACCGGAAGGGUCCCGGGGGUCCACCGGGUGGGGCCACCUAUCCCGGAGGGCCCCAUGGGCUGAAAGUGGAAGGGAACCAGCCCCUAGUGGGCUGGGCGCCCCCCAUGGGCCUCCCCCAUGCGCCUAGGGUUGGGAACCCUAGGGUGGGGGGCUUUUCCCUUGCCUUGGGGGGCAAGGCAACCCCUUCCCCCCUUUGGCCGCCGCCGCCCCCAUGAGAUCCCAUCUCUAGGGCCGGCGCCCCCCCCAGGGGGCCUAUAUAAAGGGGGGGAGGGAGGGCAGCAACCUACAGCCUUGGGCGCCUCCCUCCUCCCCUGCAACACCUCUCUCUCUCUCGCAGAAGCUCGGCGAAGCCCUGCCGGAGACCCGCUACAUCCACCACCACGCUGUCGUGCUGCUGGAUCUCCAUCAACCUCUCCUUCCCCCUUGCUGGAUCAAGAAGGAGGAGACGUCGCUGCACCGUACGUGUGUUGAACGCGGAGGUGCCGUCCGUUCGGCACUCGGUCAUCGGUGAUUUGGAUCACGGCGAGUACGACUCCGUCAUCCACGUUCAUUGGAACGCUUCCGCUCGCGAUCUACAAGGGUAUGUAGAUGCACUCCUUUCCCCUCGUUGCUAGUACACUCCAUAGAUGCAUCUUGGUGGGCGUAGGAAAAUUUUAAAAAUUAUGCUACGAUUCCCAACAGUGGCAUCAUGAGCCAGGCCUAUGCGUAGUUACUAUGCACGAGUAGAACACAAAGCAGUUGUGGGCGUUGAGUUUGCCAAUUCUUCUUGCCGCUACUAGUCGUUUCUUGUUUCGGCGUCAUUGUAGGAUGAAGCGGCCCGGACCGACCUUACACGUACGCUUACGUGAGACAGGUUCCACUGACUGACAUGCACUAGUUGCAUAAGGUGGCUAGCGGGUGUCUGUCUCUCCUACUUUAGUCGGAACGGAUUCGAUGAAAAGGGUCCUUAUGAAGGGUAAAUAGAAAUUGGCAAAUCACGUUGUGGUCAUACGUAGGUAAGAAAACGUUCUUGCUAGAAACCUACAAACCACGUAAAAACUUGCAACAACAAUUAGAGGACGUCUAACUUGUUUUUGCAGCAAGUGCUAUGUGAUGUGAUAUGGCCAGAAGAUGUGAUGAAUGAUAUAUGUGAUGUAUGAGAUUGAUCAUAUUCUUGUAAUAGGAAUCACGACUUGCAUGUCGUUGAGUAUGACAACCGGCAGGAGCCAUAGGAGUUGUCUUUAUUAUUUAGCAUGACCUGCGUGUCAUUGAAUAACGCCAUGUAAAUUACUUUACUUUGUUGCUAAACGCGUUAGCCAUAGAAGUAGAAGUAAUCGUUGGCGUGACGACUUCAUGAAGACACAAUGAUGGAGAUCAUGAUGAUGGAGAUCAUGGUGUCAUGCCGGUGACGAAGAUGAUCAUGGUGCCCCGAAGAUGGAGAUCAAAGGAGCAUGAUGAUAUUGGCCAUAUCAUGUCACUAUUUGAUUGCAUGUGAUGUUUAUCAUGUUUUUGCAUCUUAUUUGCUUAGAACGACGGUAGUAAGUAAGAUGAUCCCUUAUAAUAAUUUCAAGAAAGUGUUCACCCUAACUGUGCACCGUUGCGAAGGUUCGUUGUUUCGAAGCACCACGUGAUGAUCGGGUGUGAUAGAUUCUAACGUUCGAAUACAACGGGUGUUGACGAGCCUAGCAUGUACAGACAUGGCCUCGGAACACACGCAAUACACUUAGGUUGACUUGACGAGCCUAGCAUGUACAGACAUGGCCUCGGAACACGGAGGACCGAAAGGUCGAGCAUGAGUCGUAUAGAAGAUACGAUCAACAUGGAGAUGUUCACCGAUCUUGACUAGUCCGUCUCACGUGAUGAUCGGACACGGCCUAGUUAAACUCGGAUCAUGUUUCACUUAGAUGACUAGAGGGAUGUCUAUCUGAGUGGGAGUUCAUUAAAUAAUUUGAUUAGAUGAACUCAAUUAUCAUGAACUUAGUCUAAAAUCUUCACACUAUGUCUUGUAGAUCAAAUGGCCAACGUUGUCCUCAAUUUCAACGCGUUCCUAGAGAAAACCAAGCUGAAAGAUGAUGGCAGCAACUAUACGGACUGGGUCCAGAACCUGAGGCUCAUCCUCAUAGUAGCCAAGAAAGAUUAUGUCUUAGAAGCACCGCUAGGUGAAGCACCAAUCCCACAGAACCAAGACGUUAUGAACGCUUGGCAGCAGCGUGCUGAUGAUUACUCCCUCGUUCAGUGCGGCAUGCUUUACAGCCUAGAACCGGGUCUCCAAAAGCGUUUUGAGAAACAUGGAGCAUAUGAGAUGUUCGAGGAGCUGAAACUAGUUUUCCAAGCUCAUGCCCGGGUCGAGAGAUAUGAUGUCUCCGACAAGUUCUUCAGCUGUAAAAUGGAGGAGAACAGUUCUGUUAGUGAGCACAUACUCAGAAUGUCUGGGUUGCACAACCGCUUGACUCAGCUGGGAGUCAAUCUCCCGGAUGACGCGGUCAUUGACAGAAUCCUUCAGUCGCUUCCACCAAGCUUCAAGAGCUUUGUGAUGAACUAAAAUAUGCAGGGGAUGGAAAAGACCAUUCCUGAGGUAUAUUCAAUGCUGAAAUCAGCUGAGGUAGAGAUCAGAAAAGAACAUCAAGUGUUGAUGGUGAAUAAAACCACUAAGUUCAAAAAGGGCAAGGGUAAGAAGAAUUUCAAGAAGGACGACAAGGGAGUUGCCGCGCCCGGUAAACCAGUUACUGGGAAGAAGUCAAAGAAUGGACCCAAGCCCGAGACUGAGUGCUUUUAUUGCAAGGGAAGUGGUCACUGGAAGCGGAACUGCCCCAAAUACUUAGCGGACAAGAAGAAGGCCGGCAACACCAAAGGUAUAUGUGAUAUACAUGUAAUUGAUGUGUACCUUACCAGUACUCGUAGUAGCUCCUGGGUAUUUGAUACCGGUGCGGUUGCUCAUAUUUGUAACUCAAAACAGGAACUACGGAAUAAACGGAGACUGGCGAAGGACGAGGUGACGAUGCGCGUCGGGAAUGGUUCCAAGGUCGAUGUGAUCGCCGUCGGCACGCUACCUCUGCAUCUACCCACGGGAUUAGUUUUAAACCUCAAUAAUUGUUAUUUAGUGCCAGCUUUGAGCAUGAACAUUGUAUCAGGAUCUCGUUUAAUUCGAGAUGGCUACUCAUUUAAAUCCAAGAAUAAUGGUUGUUCUAUUUAUUUGAGACAUAUGUUUUAUGGUCAUGCCCCGCUGGUCAAUGGUUUAUUUUUGAUGAAUCUCGAACGUGAUGUUACACAUGUUCAUAGUGUGAAUACCAAAAGAUGUAAAGUUGAUAACGAUAGUCCCACAUACUUGUGGCACUGCCGCCUUGGUCACAUUGGUGUCAAGCGCAUGAAGAAGCUCCAUGCAGAUGGACUUUUGGAGUCUCUUGAUUACGAAUCAUUUGACACGUGCGAACCAUGCCUCAUGGGUAAGAUGACCAAGACUCCGUUCUCCGGAACAAUGGAGCGAGCAACCAACUUAUUGGAAAUCAUACAUACCGAUGUGUGUGGUCCAAUGAGUGUUGAGGCUCGCGGAGGAUAUCGUUAUGUUCUCACUCUCACUAAUGAUUUAAGUAGAUAUGGGUAUGUCUACCUAAUGAAACACAAGUCUGAAACCUUUGAAAAGUUCAAGGAAUUUCAGAGUGAAGUUGAGAAUCAACGUGACAGGAAAAUAAAAUUCUUACGAUCAGAUCGUGGUGGAGAAUAUUUAAGUCACGAAUUUGGUACACACUUAAGGAAAUGUGGAAUAGUUUCACAACUCACGCCGCCUGGAACACCUCAGAGAAAUGGUGUGUCCGAACGUCGUAAUCGCACUCUAUUGGAUAUGGUGCGAUCUAUGAUGUCUCUUACCGAUUUACCGCUCUCAUUUUGGGGCUAUGCUUUAGAGACUGCCGCAUUCACUUUAAAUAGGGCUCCGUCUAAAUCCGUUGAGACGACACCGUAUGAAUUAUGGUUUGGGAAGAAACCUAAGCUGUCGUUUCUAAAAGUUUGGGGAUGCGAUGCUUAUGUCAAGAAACUUCAACCUGAAAAGCUCGAACCCAAGUCGGAAAAAUGCGUCUUCAUAGGAUACCCUAAGGAAACGAUUGGGUAUACCUUCUACCUCAGAUCCGAAGGCAAGAUCUUCGUUGCCAGGAACGGGUCCUUUCUGGAGAAGGAGUUUCUCUCGAAAGAAUUGAGUGGGAGGAAAGUGGAACUUGAUGAGGUGAUAGUCACCCCUUCCGUACCGGAAAGUAGCACAGCGCGGGAAAAUGUUCCUGUGGUGCCUACACUGACUGGGGAGGAAGUUAAUGAUGAUAAUCAUGAAGCUUCAGAUCAAGUUACUGAACUUCGUAGGUCCACAAGGACACGUUCCGCACCAGAGUGGUACGGCAACCCUGUCCUGGAAAUCAUGUUGUUAGACAACGGUGAACCUUCGAACUAUGAAGAAGCGAUGGCGGGCCCGGAUUCCGACAAAGGGCUGGAAGCCAUGAAAUCCGAGAUAGGAUCCAUGUAUGAAAACGAAGUAUGGACUUUGACUGACUUGCCCGAUGAUCGGCGAGCCAUAGAAAACAAAUGGAUCUUUAAGAAGAAGACGGACGCGGAUGGUAAUGUGACCAUCUACAAAGCUCGACUUGUCGCUAAGGGUUAUAGACAAGUUCAAGGGGUUGACUACGAUGAGACUUUCUCACCCGUAGCGAAGCUGAAGUCCGUCCGAAUCAUGUUAGCAAUUGCCGCAUACUAUGAUUAUGAGAUAUGGCAGAUGGACGUCAAAACGGCAUUCCUUAACGGCUUCCUUAAGGAAGAGUUGUAUAUGAUGCAGCCGGAAGGUUUUGUCGAUCCUAAGAAUGCUAACAAAGUAUGCAAGCUCCAGCGCUCAAUCUAUGGGCUGGUGCAAGCAUCUCGGAGUUGGAACAUUCGCUUUGAUGAGAUGAUCAAAGCGUUUGGGUUUACACAGACUUAUGGAGAAGCCUGUGUUUACAAGAAAGUGAGUGGGAGCUCUGUAGCAUUUCUCAUAUUAUAUGUGGAUGACAUACUAUUGAUGGGAAAUGAUAUAGAAUUCUUGGAAAGUAUAAAGGCCUAUUUGAAUAAGUGUCUUUCAAUGAAGGACCUUGGAGAAGCUGCUUAUAUAUUAGGCAUCAAGAUCUAUAGAGAUAGAUCAAGACGCCUCAUUGGUCUUUCAUAGAGUACAUACCUUGACAAGAUAUUGAAGAAGUUCAGUAUGGAUCAGUCCAAGAAGGGGUUCUUGCCUGUGUUGCAAGGUGUGCAGUUGAGCAUGGCUCAAUGCCCGACCACGGCAGAAGAUAUAGAAAAGAUGAGUGUCAUCCCCUAUGCCUCGGCCAUAGGGUCUAUUAUGUAUGCCAUGCUGUGUACCAGACCUGAUGUAAACCUUGUCGUAAGUUUGGUAGGAAGGUACCAAAGUAAUCCCGGCAUGGAACACUGGACAACGGUCAAGAAUAUCCUGAAGUACCUGAAGAGGACUAAGGAUAUGUUUCUCGUUUAUGGAGGUGACGAAGAGCUCGUCGUAAAGGGUUACGUCGACGCUAGCUUCGACACAGAUCUGGAUGACUCGAAGUCACAAACCGGAUACGUGUAUAUUUUGAAUGGAGGAGCAGUAAGCUGGUGCAGUUGCAAGCAAAGCGUCGUGGCGGGAUCUACAUGUGAAGCGGAGUACAUGGCAGCCUCGGAGGCAGCACAGGAAGCAGUCUGGAUGCAGGAGUUCAUUACCGACCUAGGGGUGAUUCCCAAUGCGUCGGGCCCGAUGACUCUCUUCUGUGACAACACUGGAGCUAUUGCCCUUGCGAAGGAGCCCAGGUUUCACAGGAAGACCAGGCAUAUCAAGCGUCGCUUCAACUCCAUUCGUGAAAGUGUUCAAAAUGGAGACAUAGAUAUUUGUAAAGUACAUACGGACCUGAAUGUAGCAGAUCCGUUGACUAAACCUCUCCCUAGAGCAAAACAUGAUCAACACCAGGACGCAAUGGGUGUUCGAUUCAUCACAAUGUAACUAGAUUAUUGACUCUAGUGCAAGUGGGAGACUGUUGGAAAUAUGCCCUAGAGGCAAUAAUAAAUGGUUAUUAUUAUAUUUCUUUGUUCAUGGUAAUUGUCUAUUAUUCAUGCUAUAAUUGUAUUGUCCGGAAAUCGUAAUACAUGUGUGAAUACAUAGACCACAACAUGUCCCUAGUAAGCCUCUAGUUGACUAGCUCGUUGAUCAACAGAUAGUCAUGGUUUCCUGACUAUGGACAUUGGAUGUCAUUGAUAACGGGAUCACAUCAUUAGGAGAAUGAUGUGAUGGACAAGACCCAAUCCUAAGCAUAGCAUAAAAGAUCGUGUAGUUUCGUUUGCUAGAGCUUUUCCAAUGUCAAGUAUCUUUUCCUUAAACCAUGAGAUCGUGCAACUCCCGGAUACCGUAGGAGUGCUUUGGGUGUGCCAAACGUCACAACGUAACUGGGUGACUAUAAAGGUGCACUACGGGUAUCUCCGAAAGUGUCUGUUGGGUUGGCACGGAUCGAGACUGGGAUUUGUCACUCCGUGUGACGGAGAGGUAUCUCUGGGCCCACUCGGUAAUGCAUCAUCAUAAUGAGCUCAAUGUGACUAAGGCGUUAGUCACGGGAUCAUGCAUUGCGGUACGAGUAAAGAGACUUGCCGGUAACGAGAUUGAACAAGGUAUUGGGAUACCGACGAUCGAAUCUCGGGCAAGUAACAUACCGAUUGACAAAGGGAAUUGUAUACGGGAUUGAUUGAAUCCUCGACACCGUGGUUCAUCCGAUGAGAUCAUCGUCGAACAUGUGGGAGCCAACAUGGGUAUCUAGAUCCCGCUAUUGGUUAUUGACCGGAGAGGCGUCUCGGUCAUGUCUGCAUGUCUCCCGAACCCGUAGGGUCUACACACUUAAGGUUCGGUGACGCUAGGGUUGUAGAGAUAUGUGUAUGCGGAAACCCGAAAGUUGUUUGGAGUCCCGGAUGAGAUCCCGGACGUCACGAGAGGUUCCGGAAUGGUCCGGAGGUGAAGAAUUAUAUAUAGGAAGUCCAGUUUCGGCCACCGGGAAAGUUUAGGGGGUUACCGGUAUUGUACCGGGACCACCGGAAGGGUCCCGGGGGUCCACCGGGUGGGGCCACCUAUCCCGGAGGGCCCCAUGGGCUGAAAGUGGAAGGGAACCAGCCCCUAGUGGGCUGGGCGCCCCCCAUGGGCCUCCCCCCAUGCACCUAGGGUUGGGAACCCUAGGGUGGGGGGGCUUUCCCCUUGCCUUGGGGGGCAAGGCAACCCCUUCCCCCCUUUGGCCGCCGCCCCCCCAUGAGAUCCCAUCUCUAGGGCCGGCGCCCCCCCCCAAGGGGGCCUAUAUAAAGGGGGGGGGGAGGGAGGGCAGCAACCUACAGCCUUGGGCGCCUCCCUCCUCCCCUGCAACACCUCUCUCUCUCUCUCUCUCGCAGAAGCUCGGCGAAGCCUUGCCGGAGACCCGCUACAUCCACCACCACGCCGUCAUGCUGCUGGAUCUCCAUCAACCUCUCCUUCCCCCUUGCUGGAUCAAGAAGGAGGAGACGUCGCUGCACCGUACGUGUGUUGAACGCGGAGGUGCCGUCCGUUCGGCACUCGGUCAUCAGUGAUUUGGAUCACGGCGAGUACGACUCCGUCAUCCACGUUCAUUGGAACGCUACCGCUCGCGAUCUACAAGGGUAUGUAGAUGCACUCCUUUCCCCUCGUUGCUAGUACACUCCAUAGAUGCAUCUUGAUGGGCGUAGGAAAAUUUUAAAAAUUAUGCUACGAUUCCCAACAGUAUGCACCGUUGCGAAAGUUCAUCGUGCCGAGACACCACGUGAUGAUCGGGUGUGAUAAGCUCUACGUUCACAUACAACGGGUGCAAGCCAGUUUUGCACACGCAGAAUACUCGGGUUAAACUUGACGAGCCUAGCAUAUGCAGAUAUGGCCUCGGAACACUGAGACCGAAAGGUCGAGCGUGAAUCAUAUAGUAGAUAUGAUCAACAUAGUAAUGUUCACCAUUGAAACUACUCCAUAUCGCGUGAUGAUCGGACAUGGUUUAGUUGAUAUGGAUCACGUGAUCACUUAGAUGAUUAGAGGGAUGUCUAUCUAAGUGGGAGUUCUUUAAUAAUUUGAUCAACUGAACUUUAAUUUAUCAUGAACUUAGUACCUGAUAGUAUUUUGCAUGUCUAUGUUGUUGUAGAUAGAUGGCCCGUGCUGUUGUUCCGUUGAAUUUUAAUGCGUUCCUUGAGAAAGAAAAGUUGAAAGAUUAUGGUAGCAAUUACACGGACUGGGUCCAUAACUUGAGGAUUAUCCUCAUUGCUGCACAGAAGAAUUACGUCCUGGAAGAACCGCUAGGUGCCAAACCUGUUGCAGGAGCUGAACCAGAUGUUAUGAACGUCCGGCAAAGCAAAGCUGAUGACUACUCGAUAGUUUAGUGUGCCAUGCUUUACAGCUUAGAACCGGGACUUCAACGACGUUUUGAACGUCAUGGAGCAUAUGAGAUGUUCCAGGAGUUGAAGUUAAUAUUUCAAGCAAAUGCCCGGAUUGAGAGAUAUGAAGUCUCCAAUAAGUUCUACAGCUGCGAGAUGGAGGAGAAUAGUUCUGUCAGUGAGCAUAUACUCAAAAUGUUUGGGUAUAACAAUCACUUGAUGCAACUGGGAGUUAAUCUUCCGGAUGAUAGUGUGAUUGACAGAAUUCAUCCAUCACUGCCACCAAGCUACAAGAGCUUUGUGAUGAACUAUAAUAUGCAAGGGAUGGAUAAGACAAUUCCCGAUCUCUUCGCGAUGCCAAAGGCUGCGGAGGUAGAAAUCAAGAAGGAGCAUCAAGUGUUGAUGGUUAACAAGACCACCAGUUUCAAGAAAAAGGGUAAAGGGAAGAAGGGUAACUUCAAGAAGAACGGCAAGCAAGUUGCUGCUCAAGUGAAGAAGCCCAAGUCUGGACCUAAGGCUGAGACUGAGUGCUUCUACUGCAAAGGGACUGGUCACUGGAAGCGGAACUGCCCCAAGUAUUUGGCGGAUAAGAAGGAUGGCAAUGUGAACAAAGGUAUAUGUGAUAUAAAUGUUAUUGAUGUGUACCUUACUAAUGCUCGCAGUAGCACAUGGGUAUUUGAUACUGGUUCUGUUGCUAAUAUUUGCAACUCGAAACAGGGACUACGGAUUAAGCGAAGAUUGGCUAAGGACGAGGUGACGAUGCGCGUGGGAAAUGGUUCCAAAGUCGAUGUGAUCGCGGUCGGCACGCUACCUCUACAUCUACCUUCGGGAUUAGUUUUAGACCUGAAUAAUUGUUAUUUGGUGCAGCGUUGAGCAUGAACAUUAUAUCUGGAUCUUGUUUGAUGCGAGACGGUUAUUCAUUUAAGUCUGAGAAUAAUGGUUGUUCUAUUUACAUGAGUAAUAUCUUUUAUGGUCAUGCACCCUUAAAGAGUGGUCUAUUUUUAAUGAAUCUCGAUAGUAAUGAUACACAUAUUCAUAAUAUUGAAGCUAAAAGAUGCAGAGUUCAUAAUGAUAGUGCAACUUAUUUGUGGCACUGCCGUUUAGGUCAUAUUGGUGUAAAGCGCAUGAAGAACCCCAUUCUGAUGGACUUUUGGAAUCACUUGAUUAUGAAUCACUUGGUACUUGGGAACCAUGCCUUAUGGGCAAGAUGACUAAAACACCGUUCUUCGGAACUAUGGAGCGAGCAACAGAUUUGUUGGAAAUCAUACAUACUGAUGUAUGUGGUCCGAUGAAUGUUGAGGCUCGCGGCGGGUAUCGUUAUUUUCUCACCUUCACAGAUGAUUUGAGCAGAUAUGGGUAUAUCUACUUAAUGAAACAUAAGUUUGAAACAUUUGAAAAGUUCAAAGAAUUUCAGAGUGAAGUGGAAAAUCAUCGUAACAAGAAAAUAUAGUUUCUGCGAUCUCAUCGUGGACGAGAAUAUUUGAGUUACGAGUCUGGUCUUCAUUUGAAACAAUGCGGAAUAGUUUCGCAACUCACGCCACCCGAAACACCACAGCGUAAUGGUGUGUCCGAACGUCAUAAUCGUGCUUUACUAAAUAUGGUGCGAUCUAUGAUGUCUCUUACUGAUUUACCGCUAUCAUUUUGGGGUUAUGCUUUAGAGACGGCUGCAUUCACGUUAAAUAGGGCACCAUCUAAAUCCGUUGAGACGAUGCCUUAUGAACUGUGGUUUGGCAAGAAACCAAAGUUGUCGUUUCUUAAAGUUUGGGGCUGCGAUGCUUAUGUGAUAAAGCUUCAACCUGAUAAGCUCGAACCCAAAUCGGAGAAAUGUGUCUUCAUAGGAUACCCAAAGGAGACUGUUGGGUACACCUUCUAUCACAGAUCCGAAGGCAAGACAUUCAUUGCUCAGAAUGUAUCCUUUCUAGAGAAGGAGUUUCUCUCGGAAGAAGUGAGUGGGAGGAAAGUAGAACUUGAUGAGGUAACUGUACCUGCUCCCUUAUUGUAAAGUAGUUCAUCACCGAAUCUGUUCCUGUGACUUCUACACCAAUUAGUGGGGAAGCUAAUGAUGAUGAUCAUGUAACUUCAGAACAAGUUACUAUUGAACCUCGUAGGUCAACUAGAGUAAGAUCUGCACCAGAGUGGUACGGUAAUCCUAUUCUGGAGGUCAUGUUACUAGACCAUGACGAACCUACGAACUAUGAGGAAGUGAUGAUGAGCCCAUAUUCCGCAAAAUGGCUUGAGGCCAUGAAAUCUGAGAUGGGAUCCAUGUAUGAGAACAAAGUGUGGACUUUGGUUGACUUGCCCAAUGAUCGGCAAGCCAUCGAGAAUAAAUGGAUCUUCAAAAAGAAGACUGACGCUGACGGUAAUGUUACUGUCUACAAAGCUCGACUUGUUGUGAAAGGUUUUCGACAAGUUCAAGGAGUUGACUACGAUGAGACUUUCUCACCCGUAGCGAUGCUUAAGUCCGUCUGAAUCAUGUUAGCAAUUGCCGCAUUUUAUGAUUAUGAAAUUUGGCAAAUGGAUGUAAAGACUGCGUUCCUGAAUGGAUUUCUGGAAGAAGAGUUGUAUGAUGCAACCUGAAGGUCUUAUCGAUCCAAAGGAUGCUAACAAAGUGUGCAAGCUCCAGCGAUCCAUUUAUGGACUGGUGCAAGCAUCUCGGAGUUGGAAUAAACGUUUUGAUAGUGUGAUCAAAGCAUAUGGUUUUAUACAAACUUUUGGAGAAGCCUGUAUUUAUAAGAAAGUGAGUGGGAGCUCUGUAGCAUUUCUAAUAUUAUAUGUGGAUGACAUAUUGUUCAUUGGAAAUGAUAUAGAAUUUCUGGAUAGCAUAAAAGGAUACUUGAAUAAGAGUUUUUCAAUGAAAGACCUCGGUGAAGCUGCUUAUAUAUUGGGCAUCAAGAUCUAUAGAGAUAGAUCAAGGUGCCUAAUUGGACUUUCACAAAGCACAUACCUUGAUAAAGUUUUGAAGAAGUUCAAAAUGGAUCAAUCAAAGAAAGGGUUCUUGCCUGUGUUACAAGGUGUGAAGUUGAGUCAGACUCAAUGCCCGACCACUGCAGAAGAUAGAGAGAAAAUGAAAGGUGUUCCCUAUGCUUCAGCCAUAGGCUCUAUCAUGUAUGCAAUGUUGUGUACCAGACCUGAUGUGUGCCUUGCUAUUAGUUUAGCAGGGAGGUACCAAAGUAAUCCAGGAGUGGAUCACUGGACAGCGGUCAAGAACAUCCUGAAAUACCUGAAAAGGACUAAGGAUAUGUUUCUCGUUUAUGGAGGUGACAAAGAGCUUCGUAAAUGGUUACGUCGAUGCAAGCUUUGACACUGAUCCGGAUGACUCUAAGUCACAAACUAGAUACAUAUUUAUAUUGAACAAAGCGUCGUGGCGGGAUCUACGUGUGAAGCGGAGUACAUAGCUGCUUCAGAAGCAACAAAUGAAGGAGUCUGGAUGAAGGAGUUCAUUUCCGAUCUAGGUGUCAUACCUAGUGCAUCGGGUCCAAUGAAAAUCUUUUGUGACAAUACUGGUGCAGUUGCCUUGGCCAAGGAAUCCAGAUUUCACAAGAAAACCAAGCACAUCAAGAGACGCUUCAAUUCCAUCCGCGACCAAAUCAAGGAGGGAGACAUAGAGAUUUGCAAGAUACAUACGGAUCCGAAUGUUGCAGACCCGUUGACCAAGCCUCUCUCACGAGCAAAACAUGAUCAGCACCAAGACUCCAUGGCUGUUAGAAUCAUUACUGUGUAAUCUAGAUUAUUGACUCUAGUGCAAGUGGGAGACUGAAGGAAAUAUGCCCUAGAGGCAAUAAUAAAGUUGUUGUUUAUAUUUCCUUAUAUCAUGAUAAAUGUUUAUUAUUCAUGCUAGAAUUGUAUUAACCGGAAACUUAGUACAUGUGUGAAUAUAUAGACAAACUAAGUAUCACUAGUAUGCCUCUACUUGACUGGCUCGUUGAAUCAAAGAUGGUUAAUUUUCCUAGCCAUAGACAUGAGUUGUCAUUUGAUUAACGGGAUCACAUCAUUAGAGAAUGAUGUGAUUGACUUGACCCAUUCCGUUAGCUUAGCAUUUGAUCGUUUAGUAUAUUGCUAUUGCUUUCUUCAUGACUUAUACAUGUUCCUAUGACUAUGAGAUUAUGCAACUCCCGAAUACCGGAGGAACACUUUGUGUGCUACCAAACAUCACAACGUAACUGGGUGAUUAUAAAGGUGCUCUACAUGUGUCUCCGAAGGUACUUGUUGGGUUGGCAUAGAUCGAGAUUAGGAUUUGUCACUCCGAUUGUCGGAGAGGUAUCUCUGGGCCCUCUCGGUAAUGCACGUCACUAUAAUCCUUGCAAGCAAUGCAACUAAUGAGUUAGUUGCGGGAUGAUGUAUUACGGAAGGAGUAAAGAGACUUGCCGGUAACGAGAUUGAACUAGGUAUUGAGAUACCGAUGAUCGAAUCUCGGGCAAGUAACAUACCGAUGACAAAGGGAACAACGUAUGUUGUUAUUCGGUUUGACCGAUAAAGUUCUUCGUAUAAAUAUGUGGGAGCCAAUAUGAGCAUCCAGGUUCCGCUAUUGGUUAUUGACCGGAGACGUGUCUCGGUCAUGUCUACAUAGUUCUCGAACCCGUAGGGUCCGCACGCUUAAAGUUCGGUGAGGAUCGGUAUUAUGAGUUUUUGUGUUUUGAUGUACCGAAGGUAGUUCGGAGUCCCGGAUAUGAUCACGAACAUGACGAGGAGUCUCGAAAUGGUCGAGACGUAAAGAUCAAUAUAUUGGAGGACUAUGUUCAGGACACCGGAAAUGUUUCGGGAGGUUUCAGACAUAUACCGGAGUACCGGGGGGUUACCGGAACCCCCCGGGGAGUUUAUUGGGCCUAUUGGGCCCUAGUGGGAGAAGAGGAGGGGCGGCCAGGGCAGCCGCGCCCCCUCCCCCUCUAGUCCGAAUUGGACAAGGAGGGGGGGCGGCGCCCCCUUUCCUUCUCUUCCUCUUUCCCUUCCCUCUCCUAUCCUACUCCUACUUGGAAGGGGGGAGUCCUACUCCCGGUGGGAGUAGGACUCCUCAUGGGGCAUUCCAUAGGGGGCCGGCCACCUCCCCCUCAUCCACUCCUUUAUAUACGGGGAGGGAGGCACCCCUUGGAGACACAACAAUUGAUCAUUGAUCUCUUAGCCGUGUGCGGUGCCCCCUCCACCAUAAUCCACCUCAAUCAUAUCGUAGCGGUGCUUAGGCGAAGCCCUGCGUCGGUAGCAACAUCAUCACCGUCAUCACACCGUCGUGCUGACGGAACUCUCCCUCGAAGCUCUGCUGGAUCGGAGUUCGUGGGACGUCAUCGAGCUGAACAUGUGCUGAUCUCGGAGGUGCCGUGUGUUCGGUACUUGGAUCGGUCGGAUCGUGAAGACGUACGACUACAUCAACCACGUUGUUCUAACGCUUCCGCUUUUGGUCUACGAGGGUACGUGGACACACUCUCCCCUCUCGUUGCUAUGCAUCACCAUGAUCCUGCAUGUGCGUAGGAAUUUUUUUGAAAUUACUACGUUCCCCAACACUUAUAAAUUGUUCACCAUAUAGAAAAAAAGUUCCAUGUGUAUAUGAAAAAUGUACAAUGUGUAUUUAAAAGGUAGGCAUGUGUUGAAAAAAAGGAAAAGUCGAAGAAACUGGUGAAGGAAAACAAACCCAUAAGAAAAAGGAAGCGACUAACCACCAGUCGACUGGACGCUAAACAUCAGAUCUGCAUGAUCGUACACCCGCGUCCCUCCCGCGCGACCCACUUCGGCAGAGCAACCCAUGAUGACCCAGCCUUCUUUCGCGAGGCCCAGCACGUGCAACACAUGAGGCCCAAGACAAAAAAGACGGCCCCUCUGGCCCACCUUCCCCCGCACGUGACUUACCACCCCAAAACCUAGUUUCUUACCUCCAUCGCAAGAAACAGCCACCUGCCCCAGUCUGUUGCAGAUGCGUGAUUCAACCUCUAUACAGAUGCUGCAUUACAUUUCAACCUCUAUACAGAUGCUGCAUUUACAUUUACAUACCAAUAAAAUCAAGGCAAAAAAACAUGGGAAAAGAACAACAAGUACUAAAGAACAAAGCCAAAAAGAUGCAGAAAAAGGUAGCCCUUUUACUGCAUGUGUGUAAUUCCUCCGUUGUAAUUGAGUUACCAUUCAAAUUCAGUCAGGUUACCAACAAAGAUUGAAUAAAUUUGCCUCUUUUACAGCCAAAAAGCUGGUAUAAUUGAUCCAUGUUCCUACCUACAGAUUACAUCAUUGAGUUACCUCAUCAUUGAGUUACCAUCAUAAAUCCAUAUAGGUUAUCAUCAUCACUCUAUUAAGCUAUCUUUUUUGAAGCAUGUUAGAACUACAUGUAUGAAAUUUCUCAUUAAUAGCCGAGUUACCAUUUCGAGUGAAUAUAGAUUACCAAAGUGUGUGCAUUGAGUAAUUAGCAUCCUUUAACACUUAUUCAACAUAAAAGAAGAUCCUUUUUUUAUUGAAUAAACCCAUGUCAGAACAAGUUAUCAUGCUAAAUCAUUACAAUUUACCAGGAAAACUUAGAACCAAAGGUGCUAAAACACUACAAGAAUACCAUGUGUUGAUUUACAUUGUUGCCACCAUAAUUUUUUGAUAAAGAAAUGAUGUUGAUGAAAUGAGGUUGAUAGGAACUAUCACUGUCAUACUCCCAUACGCUGGUUACUUCCAAAAUGAUACCUGUUAUAAAAAUGAAGUAAUCAGUGCAGAAAAAGAAAAAAAUAGUUGUUGGGAAAAAAUAAUCAAAAUUGCUUGUAAGUGUGGAAAAUUGAUGGAUGCAAUUAUAUAUGCUAUCAGGUGCUGCAACACAAAAAAAUGGCACAUGACAACGGGGGUAAUGAGGAUGUCAUGAUGAGUGGUGUGGGGACAAACCAACAGUGUGAAUAUGCACAGACGACAAGCUUUGGUUUUGCCAACAUCAACAAAACAGACGAAGGUAAAACAUUUACCAUGCUACCACAUUUUUAUACACGGACUUGUUACCAUCAUACUUGAAUUGCAACUACCACCUAUGUUAUUUCCAACUACCACAUUCACCAUGAAUCAGUCCACAAAUCACCAAGCUGAAUGCACACAAGUUACCAUGAAAUUAGGUACAAUUACCACUCUUACUGCAUACGAAUUAUCAUGCAAUCCGUAUUACAAUUAGAAUUACAUGCUUUCACUUUACAACUACAAAAACAUCUUACUGCAUGCAAACUUUACCGGGCUAGUGGAGUACAAGUUACCACUAGUUUUGGCAUGCAGAAAUAUAACACAAACUAACAACUUCAAAAACAUUACAGGUGCUACAUCUAGAAGCAACCCGAUGGUCCGAGAGACAAGCAAAGAACUGACUACUAGCAGCAUAGGGGGAGAGAAAGCUUCUUUGAUUAUUUAGUCAGCGAGCCAGCGAGUCCAGAAACAGGAGGAGAGAAUGUUGAACAGGGAGACAAAAACACCAAGGCAUACUCCACACCGGAGCCUCGUGAUGAAACGAUGAAGUUUGAUACUUAUGAGGAAGCAUAUGAUCACUACAAGCAAUAUGCACUCAGACAUGGGUUUGGGAUGAGGCUGGAAUACAGAAAAACAAUUAAAGACGAUACUGUAAGCAGAGUCCUCUUGGUUUGUGGGAAAUACGGCAAGCCAAAAACAAACAAGGAGGAGACACAGGAUGUGCAGGACCCAAAAGGCAUCGUGAAGAAGAGGAAAAGAGGUAAGGUUGUGAGGUCGGGAUGUCCGGCCCACCUUUACAUCACCCACACGGAUGCGUCGUGAAGAGUCAAACACUUCAACGACGAACACAACCACCCUCUAAUAAGAAAGCCGUCAUUGACAAAGUUCCUAUCAUCACAUAGGAACAUUCCCAAGGAUGACCAGGACUUCUUGAAGAUAUUGCACGGAUGCAACAUAGAGUCACCAAGACAGAUCCAACUAAUGUCAUGGUUCUACGGGUCUCCUAAAGAUGUACCAUACACGACAAAGGACAUCACAAACCAAUGAGCUAAAUUCCGCAUGGAGUACCGCCAUGCUGAUGUGGGGAGAACAAUCUCAUACUUCCAAGAUAUGAAGGUACAAGAUCCAGAUUUCUAUUGGAGAAUAAAGCUUGAUGAUGAGGACAGAGUGGAAAAUUUGUUCUGGAUAGAUGGUGCGUCGCACAGGGCAUAUGCUAGAUACAAUGAUGUCAUCUCAUUCGACACAACAUACAUGACAAACAUGUACAAGAUUCCCUGUGCGUCCUUCAUUGGCAUUAAUAACCAUGGGCAGUUAAUCCAGUUUGGUUGUGGAUUUGUUCGAAACAAACUAUUUGGUAACUUUGUGUGGCCGUUUAAUGCAUUCUUGCAUGCAAUGGGUGGAAUUGCGCCAAAGAACAUAAUAACAUAUCAAGAUUUUGCAAUGAGGAGUGCUAUUGAUGAGGUGUUCUGUUGGGGAACGUAGUAUUUCAAAAAAAAAUCCUACGAUCACGCAAGAUCUAUCUCGGAGAAGCAUAGAAACGAGCGGGGAGAGUGUGUCCACGUACCCUCGUAGACCAAAAGCGGAAGCGUUUAGUAACGCGGUUGAUGUAGUCGAACAUCUUCGCGAUCCAACCAAUCCAAGCAUCGAACGUACGGCACCUCCGUGUUCAGCACACGUUCAGCCUGAUGACGUCCCUUGAGAUCUUGAUCCAGUUGAGGGCGAGGGAGAGUUCCGUCAGCACGACGGCGUGGUGAUGGUGAUGAUGAAGUUACCGGCGCAGGGCUUUGCCUAAGCACUACGACGAUAUGACCGAGGUGGUAAACUAUGGAGGGGGCACCGCACACGGCUAAGACAAUUGAUCUUGUGUGUUUUAGGGUGCCCCCUGCCCCCGUAUAUAAAGGAGGGGAGGGGGAGGCCAGCCGGCCCCUGUAGGACGUGCCAGGAGAGAGGAGUCCUACUAGGACUCCAAGUCCUAGUAGGAUUCCACUUGGUGGAAGGGGGAAGGAGGAAGGGAGAGGGAGAAGGGAAGGAAAGGGGGGCGCCGCCCCCUUCCCCUAGUCCAAUUCGGACCCAGGGGGGGGGGGGGCGGCCAACCCCUUGUGGCCCUUCUCUCUCCCCACUAAGGCCCAUGAAGGCCCAUUAGUUCGCCCAGUAGGGGUUCUGAUAACCCUCCAGCACUCCGAUAGUUACCCGGUACCUCUCAGAACUCAUCCGGUGUCCGAAUAACAUCGUCAAAUAUAUCAAUCUUUAUGUCUCGACCAUUUCGAGACUCCUCGUCAUGUCCGUGAUAUUAUCUAGGACUCCGAACAAACUUCGGUCAUCAAAUCACAUAACUCAUAAUACAAAUCAUCAUCGAACGUUAAGCGUGCGGACCCUACGGGUUCGAGAACUAUGUAGACAUGACUGAUACACAUCUCCGGUCAAUAACCAAUAGCAGAGCCUGGAUGCUCAUAUUGGCUCCUACAUAUUCUACGAAGAUCUUUAUCGGUCAAACCGCAUAACAACAUACAUUGUUCCCUUUGUCAUCGGUAUGUUACUUGCCCGAGAUUCGAUCGUCGGUAUCAUCAAACCUAGUUCAAUCUCCUUACCGGCAAGUCUCUUUACUCGUUCCGUAAUGCAUCAUCCCGCAACUAACUCAUUAGUCACAUUGCUUGCAAGGCUUAUGGUGAUGAGCAUUACAGAGAGGACCCAGAGAUACCUCUCCGAUACACGAAGUGACAAAUCCUAAUCUCGAUCUAUGCCAACUCAACAAACACCAUCGGAGACACCUGUAGCGCAUCUUUAUAAUCACCCGAUUACGUUGUGACGUUUGAUAGCACACAAGGUGUUCCUCCGGUAUUCGGGAGUUGCAUAAUCUCAUAGUCAGAGGAACAUGUAUAAGUCAUGAUGAAAGCAAUAGCAAUAAAACUAAACGAUCAUUUAUGCCAAGCUAACGGAUGGGUCUUGUCCAUCACAUCAUUCUCUAAUGACGUGAUCCCGUUCAUCAAAUGACAACACAUGUCAAUGGUUAGGAAACUUAACCAUCUUUGGUUAACGAGCUAGUCAAGUAGAGGCAUACUAGGGACACUCUGUUUGUCUACGUAUUAACACAUGUACUAAGUUUCCGGUUAAUACAAUUCUAGCAUGAAUAAUAAACAUUUAUCAUGAUAUAAGGAAAUAUAAAUAACAACUUUAUUAUUGCCUAUAGCGCAUAUUUCCUUCAGUCACCCACUUGCACUAGAGUCAAUAAUCUAGAUUACAUAUUAAUGAUUCUAAUACCCAGGGAGUCUUGGUGUUGAUCAUGUUUUGCUCGUGAGAGAGGCUUAGCCAACGGGUCUGCAACAUUCAGAUCCGUAUGUAUUUUGCAAAUCUGUAUGUCUCCCUCCUUGACUUGAUCACGGAUGGAAUUGAAGCGUCUCUUGAUGUGUUUGGUUCUCUUGUGAAAUAUGGAUUCCUUCACCAAAGCUAUUGCUCCAGUAUUGUCAGAAAAGAUUUUCAUUGGACCCGAUGCAUUGGUAUGACACCUAGAUCGAAUAUGAACUCCUUCAUCCAGUCUCCUUCAUUUGCUGCUUCCGAAGUAGCUAUGUACUCCGCUUCACACGUAGAUCCCGCCACGACGCUCUGCUUGGAACUCCACCAAGUGAAAGCUCCACCAUUCAAUAUAAAUACGUAUCCAGUUUGUGACUUAGAGUCAUCCGGAUCAGUGUCAAAUCUUGCAUCGACGUAACCAUUUACGACGAGCUCUUUGUCACCUCCAUAAACAAGAAACAUAUCCUUAGUCCUUUUCAGGUAUUUUAGGAUGUUCUUGACCGUUGUCCAGUGAUCCACUACUGGAUUACUUGGGUACCUCCCUGCUAAACUAAUAGCAAGGCACACAUCAGGUCUGGUACACAGCAUUGCAUACAUGAUAGAACCUAUGGCUGAGGCAUAGGGAAUGACUUUCAUUUUCUCUCUAUCUUCUGCAGUGGUUGGGCAUUGUGUCUGACUCAACUUCACACCUUGUAACACAGGCAAGAACCCUUUCUUUGACUGAUCCAUUUUGAACUUCUUCAAAACUUUAUCAAGGUAUGUGCUUUGUGAAAGUCCAAUUAAGCGUCUUGAUCUAUCUCUGUAGAUCUUGAUGCCCAAUAUAUAAGCAGCUUCAGCGAGGUCUUUCAUUGAAAAAUUCUUAUUCAAGUAUCCUUUUAUGCUAUUCAGAAAUUCAGUAUCAUUUCCGAUCAGUAAUAUGUCAUCCACAUAUAAUAUCAGAAAUGCUACAGAGCUCCCACUCACUUUCUUGUAAAUACAGGCUUCUCCAAAAGUCUGUAUAAAACCAUAUGCUUUGAUCACACUAUCAAAGCGUAUAUUCCAACUCAGAGAGGCUUGCACCAGUCCAUAAAUGGAUCGCUGGAGCUUGCACACUUUGUUAGCACCUUUAGGAUCGACAAAACCUUCUGUUUGCAUCAUAUACAACUCUUCUUUAAGAUAUCCAUUAAGGAAUGCAGUUUUGACAUCCAUUUGCCAAAUUUCAUAAUCAUAAAAUGCGGCAAUUGCUAACAUGAUUUGGGUAGACUUAAGCAUCGCUACGGGUGAGAAGGUCUCAUCGUAGUCAACUCCUUGAACUUGUCGAAAACCUUUCACAACAAGUUGAGCUUUGUAAAUAGUAACAUUAUUGUCAGCGUCAGUCUUCUUCUUGAAGAUCCAUUUAUUCUCUAUGGCUUGCCAAUGAUCGGGCAAGUCAACCAAAGUCCAUACAUUGUUCUCAUACAUGGAUCCCAUCUCAGAUUUCAUGGCCUCAAGCCAUUUCGCGGAAUUUGGGCUCAUCAUCGCUUGCUCAUAGUUCGUAGGUUCGUCAUGGUCAAGUAACAUGACCUCAAGAACAGGAUUACCAUACCACUCUGGUGUGGAUUGUACUUUGGUUGACCUAAGAGGUUCAGUAGUAACUUGAUCUGAAGUUUCAUGAUCAUCAUCAUUAGCUUCCUCACUAAUUGGUGUAGGAAUCACUGGAACUGAUUUCUGUGAUGUACUACUUUCCAACUCAGGAGAAGGUACAAUUACCUCAUCAAGUUCUACUUUCCUCCCACUCACUUCUUUCGAGAGAAACUCCUUCUCUAGAAAGGAUCCAUUCUUAGCAACAAAUAUCUUGCCUUCAGAUCUGUGAUAGAAGGUGUACCUGUCGGUGUCAAAACCGGCAGAUCUCGGGUAGGGGGUCCCAAGCUGCGUGUCUUAGGAUCGAUGGUAAUAUGGACACGGGAUUUUACCCAGCUUCGGGCUCUCUCGAAGAGAUAAUACCCUACAUGCUGCUUUUGAUUGUAUUCGAUGCGUAUGAUUAUGGAGUUGAUCUACCUUGAGAUCAUAUGUUGUGGUCUAAACCCUAGAGGUAUGAUGAGUAAUGUCACUACAAAAAAAAUACACUUCCGUGAUGAUACAUGUUUGUCACAGUAGGUCACGUUUUCUGUCAUGCAUGUACAUCCAUGACGAUUUUAUGACAGAAUCAAGAUAGUCAUACCUGUGCUGUCGUUGAAGUGUUCCAUGACAUUACCAAAUUUAUAAUCACAGAAGUGUCCACUUCCAUUACGAUAAAUCGCGCGUCACAGAAGUGCUUUCGUCAAGGGUGACCGACACGUGGCAUCCACCGUAACGGAACGCCGUUAAGCUAUCGGGUCCGAUUUUGGAUCCCAUAACCCGUUAACAGCCCCGACCAAUGGGGAUUUUCCACGUGUAAAAUCAUCAUUGGCUGGAGGAAACACGUGUUGGCUCACCAUUGGGACAGAUGUCAUCCACUCAUUGGACCCAAAGCGCCUAUGAUACGUCGACACGUGGCACGGCCCAACAGAGGCCCAUUCCUGUGAAAAGGCCGGCCCGUUUAACUUGGUCAAAAGGUGGCGAGCCGGCCCACGGCAAGCCUGUUAACGGCCUGUUCGCAUAUAGCCCAUUUACAACCCGCUAACCCAGGGCCCGUUUACGGCCUAUCCGAAUUAGGCCCAGUAGCGUCAUCUGGGCCGUUCAAUAUAAUUCCAGCCUUUUUUAACUUCCGGCCCAUGUAUGGCCCAUGACAUCUUUCGGCCCAUAUGAGGCCCUUAGUAACUCUCGGCCCAUUAAUGGCCCGUGGUAAAACUGGCUCAUAAUGAACAGUGUAUCACUUUAUACCCAUUAACAACACGUGGUGUAACUGGCCCGUAAUGAACAGUGUAUCACUUUAUACCCAUUAACGGCCCAUUAUUCCGUUGGGCCGUUUCCAGCCCAUGUUAUCUUUCGGCCUUCUCAGGGCCCAUUUAUUCUUGGGCUCAUUUCCAGCAUUCGUUUACUUACGGCCCAUUACUGUCAUUUUCUGCUUGUGGGCAAAAUUCAGCCCGUGGUUAUAGUCGGCCCGUUUGUGGCCCGUUAAUACGUUGGCCGUUUUCAUAGCGUCAUCAAAUACGGCCGAUUAACGACGGCCCGUUAUGGUCGGCCCAUGAACGGACAAUUUCAAGUCUAGCCCAUUUACGACCAUAAUGUGGUCUAUUAUUGGCCCAUGUUUGGCCAACCGAUCAUACGGCCCGUAGAAGACCCAUUGAUGAUACGGCCCGUAGAAGGCCCAUUGUGUCUACGGCCCAUAUAAGGCCCAUUGUUUCUACGCCGCAGAAGGCCCAUUGUUUCUACGGCCCUUAGAAGGCGCAUUAUUUCUACGGCCCAUAGGAGGCCCAUGUUAACUACAGUAAAUAUGUAGCCCAUGGUUAUUGUGGCCUAGUUUAAAAAAAUAGGUUAUUGCGGCCACUAGCAAACCGCGGAAAAAGAACUGCACUAACUACAAGAAAACAAAUAAACAAGACAAUAAGGAAAUAAAUAAUAAAGCAACUUACGCUAGGCUAUCACGGCUAUUACACAUAUUACAUCCACUGGGCAUCAAAGUUCGCCACAGUUGCAAAUAUAGGGAACAAAGCAGCAUAUAAACGCCGCAGCAAAACAAGUCCAGAACUGAAACCACUUCAAAAGAUCUCAAGAAACAAUAUCCUGGGUACCCAUACUGCUGGCAAGAUGCUUAACAAGCUUAUUAACUUUCUCUUGUUUGGCGCUUAAAUCCUCCAACACUUGCUGUUGCACCAGAAAGUAUGCAUCUGAAUUCUGCAGGGACUUCCUCAGUCCUUCGGCUUCCUAUCGCAUAACAUCUGAUCGAUGUCUUUCAACUUGAAGUUGAGACUCAAGAAGCCGAACUGAUUCAGGCAGCGAGUUCGAAGAGCUGGUGCCAGCAGUAGUAGCCAGUAACUCGAACAUUACAUCAAGACAGGACUUUGGGGUUGUCUCAGUGCCUUCAAUAUAGUUUUUAUCAGCUUUCUUGGAGACCAAUAGGGAUGUCUCACUAUCUUGAACCUUAUCUGCAUUACUUCCUUUACCAUCGCAUAACGGGGUACUCUUCUCCAAUAUUUUAUCUGCGUUCUAAAAGAGAAACAAACAAACAAAUACAUCACAGGUUUACAAUGUAGUAUAUGAAAAUCAUUUUGGUAAACCAGUUCAGUAGUAAGGUGGAUAGGAUAACAUCAUGAAACAAACAUAUAUCUAUGUAGUAUGGUCACUGUAUGGUCUAUAUCAUUCUAGUUUAUGUUGCCAAAUCAAGAUAGAUACAGUUCGAAUCAUAUCUAUUUAAGACAAAGCAGCAUAGACAGAAUAUAAGUGUGGGAAACUACACAGCAAUAACAACACUUGUAAUGUGCAUGGCAUGAGAACAUAACUGUUUAUGCAAUUGAAAUUGAAAUCAACAUAGAGCAAGUUACAACAGCAAACACGUUAAAGAAACAGGUUUAAAACAUACCUGUUGCACCAUUGGAGUUUCAAUUGCAUCCUUCCAAUUUGAAAUUAGUUGGUAUGAGUAAAUAAAGUGAUGCAAGAGCAAAGUAGUAUGAACCAUAGCUACAGAACCUGACCUGAGAACAAUUCUUCUUCUGCUUUAAGCGUUGACUUGGGGUUCGGAGUGGUGGUCCUCGUGCUUUGGGCACUGCAGUUGCCUUACUAACUGCUCGUGUUUGGGUGCUCUGUGGUGGAGACGGUGUUGUGUCAACGGGAACUGGGUUACUAUCUGCUGGGGUUGGGGUUAGAAGGGGUGUAGCUGGUUCUUUGUCCAACUAGGUAGGGGUACAAUCUGCGUGAGUCUGGGUUAUGUGUGGUGGGGCUGGUUCUUGGGCAAGUACAACCGUGGUUCUAUCUCCAUCGACAGGUAGCACGAUCUUUUCUGAAGACCGUGUUUUUAGUCCCACAGAUACUGCCAUCACCCCUCCAAUUGAAAUGGCUGAUAAACAAGAAAAGUAAUUGAAUGUACAGACAUUAUAAGAUAGACAGGUGCAAUGGAUAGUAGGGAAGAAAACAGGGCAAGAAAUAAUUCACAUUUAUGUUGUCUAACCAAACAGAAUAGGAUGACACAAUUUCACAUAUAUGAUGGCUAAUUAAACAAGAUAGCAUGACACAAUUUCACAUAUAUGAUGGCUAACUAAACAUGAUUGAAUGACAUACUUCAAAAUAUGAUGAGUAUGUAAACAGGAUGACAUGAUAUAACUAUACGAUGUGUCUAUUAAAGUGGUUGGCAUGCCAUAAAUCACAAACAUGCCGUCGAUGGAAACAUGAUGGCAUGAUAUAAUUCACGGAUAGAAUGACAUUAUUCAAAAUAUGAUGACUAUGUAAACAGGAUGAGAUGAUAUAACUAUAUUAUGUCUUUAGAAAAUGGGUUGGCAUGCCAUAAUUCAGAUACAUGCUGUCUAUGUAAACAUCAUGGCAUGAUAUAAUUCAAAUAUAUGAUUUAUAUACUAAGGAAGUGAGCAGAGGGCAAUCGCAUAUAUGAUGUGUCAACUAAGGAGAUGGCAUUCAAUAUCGUGUAUAUGAUGUAAAAACUAAGCAUUGCAAUACAACAUAUGCAUGAUAUGAGUAAUAUAACCCUGCCAAGUUUGAGCAUACACCUCAGGGGGAUAAUAGGACUGGUCAUUUGCCUCUGAAUCCUUCUCUGAAUCUGUAACCAGCAAGAUAUCUGCUUCAGCAGGUAGCAUUGUCUGCUCUGAAGACCUUGUUUUCACUCCAGAUUUCUCCGUCACCAAUUCAAAUGGCUGAUGCACAGGAAGAGCAGUUGAAUAUACAAACAUUGUCGACAAAAGCAAUGAGAAAUACAAAAAAAGGAUGGCAUGAUAUAAUUCACAUAUAUGACGCUUGGCUAAACAGCAUGCAUUGCAUAAUUCACAUAUAUAAUGCCUUGCAACAAGAUAGCAUUGCAUAAUUCACAUAUAUAAUGUCUUGCAACAAGAUGGCAUUGCAUAAUUCACAUAUAUGGUAAUUACACACUAAACAGGUGGCAUUCACACAAAGCAUGUCUAAACUAAGCAAAUGACAUAUCAAUGCAAGAUACCAUACACACGAUAUGAGCAACAUAACCCUGCCAAGUUAGAGCAUGCACCUCGGAGGGGAAAUAGGACUGGUCAUCUGUCUCUGAAUCCUCCUCCGAGGAGCUAUCUAUAACCAGCAAGACAUGCGCUUCGUCAGAUAGCAUUGUCUGCUGUGAAGAUGUUGUUUCCACUCCAGAUUUUUCCAUGACCGUGCCGAAUGGCUGACGCACAGGAAGAGUAAUUGAAUGUACUAAAAUUGUUGACAAAUUUAACACGUAAUAAAAAAAUGAUGUCAUGAUAUAAUUCACAUAUAAGAUGACUGGCUAACCAGGGUGGCAUUGCAAAAUUCACAUAUAUGAUGCCUGGCUAAACAAGAUGGCAUUGCAUGAUUCACAUAUACGAUAAAGAAACUAAACAGAUGGCAUUGACACAAAGCAUGUCUAAACUAAGCAGAUGACAUCUUUGAUGUAUACAGUAAGCAAUGCAAGGCACCAUAUGCAUGAUAUUACCAACAUCAGCAUGCCAAGUUAGAGCGAAGACCUCAUGGGGUAAAUAGGAGUGGUCUUCUGCUUCUGAAUCCCCCUCAGAACAGUUAUCUUCCUCUUGAUUAUGAUCUGAAAUGGGUGGAGGGGGGGCUGCCUUUGCGCCCACCAUGGAGCGACGUCUGCAUGAAAUUUUAUUGCCACGCAAGGCUCGUCUCUUUUGCUCUACAUGUUUAGUUCCAUUGUGUACAAUAACUGACAUGCAUAGGAAUAAAACAUAGUGAGAUUAUGUAAGGAGUGCAUGCACAAAUCCAGAGUGAUGGUAGCAAACUGUGGAUAGACCCAAAACCAAUGAUAGCAGGCAGAUAAUAGAUUUUGUUAAAAAAUACAGAUAAUGGAUCCUUUAAUGUUUGUUUGCACCCAACAUGAAACUCAUAGUAGACACCCGAGAUUAACCAGAUAGUAGACAGAUAGUACUGAUUGCCGCCCCAAUAUGUACCCCACAACCAUUUAAAAACUCAAGUUUCAGCAUAAGUUUGGACCUGACUCGGAGUCUAAUAGGUGAACACGACGAUAAAGUAGCAUGUCAUCAUAUUAAGUGAUGCAUAACGUAAGCAGACACGGAAGAGUGCGACCUCUCUUGCGGACCCGUGUAGUCCUCAAGGUCAUCUGCUCAGUUGAUGAUGGUAAUGCAGUUGUCGUGGCUGCCGGCGGCGGGGAAGAAGAUCUGAGGUGGCGAAAGACAGUCUGGAGAGCGGAUCCCUGCUGUGGUUCACCCUUCCGUCGUUGGAGCAGCUGAGCUGGGGUGGAACACAGCACCGUAGGAGCAGGACAAACCACACAAGGUUUUCUUUGACACAUAUCUGUAACAGAAGUAAUUGUGUAAGGGCUUGUUUGAAUUUGAGGAUUCUAACAUUGCAGUGAUAGGAAAUAGACAGGAAUAGGAUAGGAAUGCACGUGCAAAACAGAGAAUUUAAAAACACAGGAUUUCUGCCAAUCUAGGUGUUUGGUUCACAAGAAUUGGAAGAUCACAGGAUGCAAAGAAGCAUGGUUAGAUUAAGUUAAACCACUAGAAAAUGUACGGUUAUAAUGCUAUUAUGCUACUAUCUCUUAGUCUUGUGCUUCAUGAAUAGGAAUUUGAAAAGGAGGACAAGUGGACAUUAAAAUUCCUACGGUUUUUCUUUCAAGGAGACACUAAAGGAACAAAUCCUACAGUUUUCCUUUGCUCCAUUCCUUUGCACCAAAUUCACGAAAAGUAGUACCAUACGAAACUUUCCAAUUCCUAUGUUUUUCAUUCACUUUUCCUUUCAAGCACCGGCGAUUCUAGUAGGCAGGCCUGAGCAAGGAAAAGGCUACACUAAAAAAAUGUUUUUGUGCUACUUCUAUUACUUUGGACCCAGGCCACUGCCCUACUAGUUCAACUCCCAGGGCCAUCGACAAAUGCAAAACUCAAACGCGCAGAGAUAAAUAAUGAUGGCGUUCAAGAGAGUCCAUCACGGAUAGCUAAGUUGCCUGGUACCUCACUGCUUGUCAUAUAGUAGGAUAAAAUAAUCGUAUUUCCCGUUACUCCGUGUGCUCAGUGGACAAUAUAUAUAACAUGUAGAGUAAAAAAGAGAUGCAACAAGUGUACAACCUCUUUGGCGAAGCCAUGUCGAUCUCAGCGUGAUUGGGUUGGCCGGUGAGGAUGCUCCGGCUGACUUGGCUGUCGGAGGAGGGGAAGAAGAUCUUAGGCGUCUGGAGAUGGAGCCCGAGGUACUGAUCCGCUGUGAUGGAGGGUUUCGUUGUUGGAGCAGCUCCGGUGAGUUGUACGACGCCGAGGCUGAAGCAGGACAGGAGAGACAAUGUUAACCUGAGUGGAAUUCUAAUAGCAUCUCCAAUAGAUGAUGUAAAAUACAUAACCACAAAGAGCUAGAUGUAAAAUACAUCAGCCGCUCAUCUUUGAACUUAACUGUCGAAACUGAAUUUAGCUGUCGAAACUGAAUUUUGCUGUCGAAACUGAAUUUUACUGUCAAAACUGAACGCACUAGAGGUGAGGCUACACGUCAGUCGACUGAUUUUUUCAUCUCUGGUCAGUCAAUUUUGUAGCCGUUGGAUAUGAAAUCAAGGGCCUGUAGUUCAUCUUCAACCUCCACCCCCCUGAGCCGCUAGCCACCACCGGCCAAACAGCCGCCCCCCGCCGCCCGCGGCCAGCUAUGCACCGCCCCGCUCGCCCCGAAAACACUCCCCACCGCCGGUCCGCCGCCGCCCCGGCCAUCCCUCUAGCCCCCCCCCCGUGCCGAGCUUUUUCUCCGGCGAUCCCCACGNNNNNNNNNNNNNNNNNNNNNNNNNNNNNNNNNNNNNNNNNNNNNNNNNNNNNNNNNNNNNNNNNNNNNNNNNNNNNNNNNNNNNNNNNNNNNNNNNNNNNNNNNNNNNNNNNNNNNNNNNNNNNNNNNNNNNNNNNNNNNNNNNNNNNNNNNNNNNNNNNNNNNNNNNNNNNNNNNNNNNNNNNNNNNNNNNNNNNNNNNNNNNNNNNNNNNNNNNNNNNNNNNNNNNNNNNNNNNNNNNNNNNNNNNNNNNNNNNNNNNNNNNNNNNNNNNNNNNNNNNNNNNNNNNNNNNNNNNNNNNNNNNNNNNNNNNNNNNNNNNNNNNNNNNNNNNNNNNNNNNNNNNNNNNNNNNNNNNNNNNNNNNNNNNNNNNNNNNNNNNNNNNNNNNNNNNNNNNNNNNNNNNNNNNNNNNNNNNNNNNNNNNNNNNNNNNNNNNNNNNNNNNNNNNNNNNNNNNNNNNNNNNNNNNNNNNNNNNNNNNNNNNNNNNNNNNNNNNNNNNNNNNNNNCCCCUGAAAAUCGACUGACCCAAAAGUCAAUUCAGUCGACUGAAGUGUAGCUAAAUCGGAGCAGCAUCGCAAGAAAGAGCAAGAGCAAGAGCAGCAGCACGAGCAAGAGCAAGAGCAAGAGCAAGAGCAGACUAGGUAGGGGACCGAGAGCAAGAGCAGAGCAGCAGCGCGAGCGAGAGCUAAAGCAGCAGCAGAUCCUACUGAUGUGGACGUCGCCGCCGAGGGAGCGACGCUGUGGAGGAAGUGGCCGGCGAUGCCGGCGUGGAUGGAGCCGUGCCGUGUCGGCUCGGGACCGAGCACCGGCAGCACCGUGAGAUCGAAUCAAGAAGAAAAUGCGGAGAUUAGUGUACAACCUCUUUGGUGGCGCCGAUUAGGCCGCAGCUUCAUCCGAGGAAACGGUGAUGAUGCUGCUCUUCCGGUGGUGCAGGUGAAGACGAUGGUGUGGGAAUGGAGGUGGCGCGAAAGAUGAGGGGAACGUCGGGGCAGCUCCUUGGAGGUGGAGGACGGGGUGGCUGAACCGGCGGGACGACCAGAUCGACGACGGAUCCUCAUCCGGUACAGUGGAUGAGGUACGUCGAUGUGUUAUUGUGACGACAUCGUCAGGGAAGAGGCUCCGACUGGGUGGCAGACGGAGGAGGGUGUGGGGCUUCGCGGGUUUUCGCGGCCUCAGUGUAUGAAUUGGUGGGAUGGGAGUGGGAACCAUGGCUUAGGGACGCGCUUGUCCGAAAUGUGGGGUAAGUUAUGAAAGUACCGCCACCGAUUUGAGGCGGUUCUUUUGGUUCAGGGGUAUUACAGGCAUUUCGCAUGUCGGGAUUUCAGAGGAGGUGGGAGUUUUCGCGCGCGUUGUAAUUUUGGAAUAGCAAGGCGCGGGUUGAGAUGGAGGGAGUUGUCGGAGCACAACGAGACAAUGAUUUAUCUUAAAUAUUUCAGGGUAACAAGGCGUGGGUUGAAGAGGCGGGAGUUUCGCAGCAUGAUAGACAGAGGCGCUAGCUUGAAAUUUCGGCAUAACAAGGCGCGACUUGAAAUUUCGGGAGAACAAGCUUAACGUGUACCAAAAAAAGACAAUUUGGACUAGUAUGAUAUACUACGUACAAUGUGUUUAACACGCACAACACACACAUACACCAUUUAGACUAGUAAGGUACACGUGCAUUGCACGCAUGAGAUUUGGCAACCAAAUUAUGAAUAAAUACCACAUUAUAGCAUGUAAGCUUUGAGUCAUAUAUGCAUGAUGUAGAUGUUUGUUUAAUUCUUAUAGUUCAUUUCAUUCAAAAUCAUCUAGUUUUUAUAAGAAAGCUAAUCUAUUUUAAGAUUCAUGGAAUUGUGCGUUGUAAGGCAUAAAGUAAAAACAAAUCAUGUACAAAAACAUUUGGGCAAUUCUGAUACGGAAGAUUCUAGAACAAAGAAGAAGUGCUUGUGUUUUGAGGUUUGUGCAUUAUGCUUAAGUUCAACCAUAGAGUCUUCUAGAUUGUACAUGUGGCAAAAUCUGGUGGAAUCUAGAUGAUAUCCAAUGGCCAGUAGUGCUCAAAUUUGCCAGCUCUGCACCAUCGGAUUGGCCUCAUCCAACGACCAUCUUUCAAAGUUAAAGUUAUCCGCACACUAUAAUAUAUAUAUAUAUAUAGGGGUAUAGAUAUAGAUAUGUGCUGCGAAAGCCACCCAUCAUCUCCAAUUAGAAUAGUGUGUCCAUGCACGGAUGCAAUGUGGCCAAACGAUGUCUGCCAUCAGUAUCUCAAAUUCAAACCAGUCUGACCUUGUUCAAUGUGUAUACAUUACAACAUGCUCGUUUCCAAACCACACCGCGCAGAUCUCCGUUAUAUUCAUGCAUGCAUGGGUUUCAAACAUCAUGAUCUCUUAUUCAAAUAAUUGAAUUCAAAUUUACAUUGAUUAUGACCUCACCUAGUCUUUUACACCCACACAUUGGUCUUCUCUUUAUAAUUGUACCACUAACUUUCUCUCGUGCAUGCAUGCACACACACUACCAGUCGGCAUUAUCCAUCGCACACAUGCAAUCUUUUUCUUCAGGUCGGUCUCGCAUGAAGGCACACACACACACACACAUCCCCCUCUCCAUCAUAUCGGACAUUCUUUAUCUCUCACGUGCAUGCGCAACGAUUGAUGUUCCUCUAUGUGUGUGUGUAUAUAUAGCUAGGUCUUUCAUAGUUUCCCACAUAAACCGAUCAAUCUAUAUAUCUAGUGAGGUCUCACCCUCUUUCCCACGUCCACAUCGAUCAAUCUAUACCUCUCUAUAUAGGAUUACAUAUAUAGCUAAUACACCCACAUUAAUUAUAUAUCGAACGCCCCCUUCUCAUCAUCCAUGCCUUCCGCUUCAUCUCUCAGACGCGCGCACAAUGGCGAAGAUAGGGGGCAGCAAGGGCCCUGCCCCCCUAACAUCACUAUAUAUCGAGGCUUAUAUGAAUGUGAUCAUUAGACAAUUGCUGGUAAAAAUGGUUUAAGUUGAUGAAUUGGCCCUCCUCGUAAAGGAUUAGCAAUGCUUGGCCCCCUAGCUCAUGGGACAUUUUUCAUGGCUCCGCCACUGCGCGCAACAGCGCACGUUCUCGCCCCCUCUAUCUAAAUAUCGAUCUCGCAGUUGUGCACUCCUUCAUAGUCUCCCUCCACUUGGCCCCUCGCACCAUCUUCUAGCCCCCCACCGGAUUUUGCCACAUGUACAAUCUAGCAGACUCCAUGGUUGAACUUAAGCAUAAUGCACAAAUCUCAAAAUAACAGUGGUUCUCCUUUGUUCUAGAAUCUUCCGUAUCAUAACUGCCCAAACUUUUUUUCUAGUUGAAUUGCCAUUAUUUGUUUUCACUUUAUGCUUUACAACGCACAAUUCCAUGAAUCAUAAAAUAGAUUAAGGGCUUCUUUGAUUCAAAGGAUUCUCAAAGGAAUUUUGGAGGAUUCUAAUCCUUAGGAAUUUUCCCUAUCUUGGUUGUUUGAUUCGUAGGAUUGUAAACCAUAGGAAUUUUUCCAUAUGAUUCAUUUGCACUAGAUUUCAUAGGAAACAACCCAUCCACUCAAACCUCUUUGAAAGAAUUCUGCGUUUUUUCUAUGCACAAUCAAACACUCGUACAAUCCUAUAGGAUUCAAGACGACAUUCCACUCUAAUCCCAUGUUUUUCCUAUUCCCGCGUUUUGGAAAUCCUAUGAAUCAAAGAGGCCCUAGGUUUUUUAUAAAAACUAAUUGAUUUUGAAUGAGAUGAACUAUAAGAAUUAAAUGAAGGUCUACAUUAGGCAUAUAUGACUCAGAGCUUAAAUGCUAUAGUGUGGUAUUUAUUCAUAAUUUGGUUGCAAAAUCUGACGCGUGCAAUGCACGUGUACCUUACUAGUACUUCGAGUAUGUGCAAAACACAAUGGCACGCUACACAAUGUCUCUCUUACAGUUCAUGCAGCGACAUGGCACAUGUGGAGGCGUUGUCGCGACAUCCUUGUGUGGAUUGAUCACAGUGACGUACUGCUGAUUCCAGAAGAAUGUACUCGUCCUCCCUGAGCCACACUGGCGGUACAUGCACAAAGCGAAGAUGUGCACGCACGCCACACACGCACUCAUUCCCUCUCACGCACACGCGGGUACACGAGCGGACGCAAUUUUGUACCAAGAUCCACCCCAUGUGAUAAUUUGAUGCGUGUAAAGUCCUUCACUUCAUUGAUGGCCAAUUAGUACAACACAUGCAAAUUGAGUGGACGUGAGCGCGGAAGAAAGACAUUACUACUCCACUGCGCGCAUGUGAGUAGUUAAAUCAUGGGUUGCUAGUAGUACUUCCAUUGGUCUCCUUCGUAUUUUGUGCCAAUUUUUGACAGUAACAUAAUAUUUACGCAUCUGAGCAGUGUAAUCUACUUGAAAUUUAUGUUCCAUUAAACUCAUCGGGAGCCGUUUCGGGCCUCGAAACCAAAACCCAUCAAUUUAUCUUUACCUUGUUCCCAUCACAUUCGAAAGUACUAGUGCUACAAUUAAUUGCAAGCCUGCUCACACCUACUAGUACGUACCAAACCUGAACGUGUUCCCACUAUGCAGGUAUUAGUACUAGUGCUAGUACUUAGGUUAUAAAAAGGGGAACUACCUAACCGAAAAUUACUCUACCUUUCCUCCUCAUAAGUGCUUCUUCUUCGUUCGUCCUUGCCAUGUCCGGUGCGCAGAGCUCUAGGUCGAGAACUACUGGUAACAAGGGAGCGACAACCAAGGCUGCGUAAAAAAGAGAGGGCUCGCCGCCACGCAGAGACCUCGAAAGAUCUCUCACGGGCUGGCGAUUGCUCCCAGGAGCGCCCUAGCCGCGAAGGCGAACAUGCCGAGCUGGCGGCGCUGGAGUCGUUAUCCCUCGAUGGCAUGCCCGAUCAGCUCAAUAAGCACCUCAAUAAGCAGAAGGAGUUCAUCCACGGCUUGGUGGAGCUGCUGAAGGAGAGCCUCGACGACAUGCCCGCUGAGCUCAAUAAGCAGGGGGAGUUGACCGCCGGCUUGGUGAUGCUGCUGAAGAAGAGCAUUGCCUCGGAGAAGAAGGCGACCGGCGAAAUCCUGCAACUUCAGGAGGACAAGGCGAAGCUCUGCCACGAGCUCGACCUGCUGAAGGAGAAGAACACCGGCUGGAAGAAGCUGCAUGAGAGUAGUAGUUCCUCGAUGAAGAUGCUGUAGGCCCUCAUCAUGGAACAGAAGGAGGAGUUGGCGAAGCUCCGCAUCGAGCACCCGGCUACUGUCAAGGUACGUAAUGCGGCCGUGGAACAGAUGAUGAAGGCUCGCAUCUAGAAAUCCCGCGUCAUGGACAGAAUGAAGAAGAUGGCGGAGGAGACGCGCAAGGAGAUGGAGGCCGUGGAGGCGAUGAAGAAGCAGUUACGACUCCGCGGCGAAUUAAAUCAUUUGGGGUGAUAAUCUUCCUUCUUCUUUUUCUCCUGUGUUUCUUCUUUUGCUUCGGGUGUUUCGCGGCACGUGUCACGUUCUCUGCGAGGCAUGAAUAGAACAAUGCUAACAAUGAGAUGACUAGCAAAUUAGAUCAUUUUUUAUCGCCAUAUGGCACCGGGCUGCCAUGUUUCGUGCUCCUUGUCGGUGUCAAAACUGGCGGAUCUCAGGUAGGGGGUCCCGAACUGUGCGUCUAAGGUCGAUGGUAAGAGGAGACAGGGGACACGAUGUUUACCCAGGUUCGGGCCCUCUCUAUGGAGGUAAUACCCUACUUCCUGCUUGAUUGAUCUUGAUGAAUAUGAGUAUUACAAGACUUGAUCUACCACGAGAUCGUAAUGGCUAAACCCUAGAAGUCUAGCCUGUAUGACUAUGCUAAUGAGUAUAUCCCUUCCGGACUACACCCUCCGGUUUAUAUAGACACCGGGGGGAUCUACGGUUACAUAGAGUCGGUUGCAUAGGAAGGAAUCUUCAUAGUUGAUCGCCAAGCUUGCCUUCCAUGCCAAGGAGAGUCCUAUCCGGACCCGGGUAAGGUAUUCCGCCUUCGUGUCUUCACAGCCCAUCAGUCCGGCCCAUGGAUAACAGGCCGGACGCCCGAGGACCCCUUAGUCCAGGACUCCCUCAGUAGCCCUUGAACCUGGCUUCAAUGACGAGGAGUCCGGCGCGCAGAUUGUCUUCGGCAUUGCAAGGCAGGUUCCCUUCUUUUCAAACUCCAAGAUAGUCUUCGGAUGCGAUGAUAGUAUCCGGACCUGUCACACACACCAUACACAACCGCAGAGAGAAUAUAAUUUUACACGAGUCCAGUCCGCUGACAACUUGUUGUAGCAUGACGUCACGUCCGACCGGUCAUAAUUCCGAACCGUUUUGUGUCCACCGCUCCACGUUUCGAGACGCGGUUGCUAUUGGCACGUCUUGUCAAAGCAGAGAUCGUGUCCCCUUAUUGCGGGAUUCUCAUCAAUACGGGUAUGGGUAACCCAACCGUGCCGUUUACACAGUCUUUCGGAAUAUGCGAGUUCUAAGGCGAGUGGGGAGGCGUUCAAUAUUCACUGCCUUUAUAAGGGGAUAAGGAUUCCCCCUUCCUCUCCCACACCUUCUCUCUUUCUCCGCCCUUCCAAUCUCGAGCUCCAGCGCCCAAGUUCUUAUCUCCUUUCCACUCGAGCUAGCACUCAACCAUGUCCGGAUCCAGAGGUCAGGGUAAGUGGAUGGUCUCCUCCGUCAAGGAGGAGGACAUUACUGAGCUUCGGGCGGCCGGAUACUUGGCGAAGGAAAUCGCCCACCGUCUGCCGGCCGAGGGACAAGUCGUCCCCACACCGAAGCCCAACGAGAGGGUGGUAUUCACCCCUCAUUUCUUCCGCGGACUAGGGUUUCCAUUCCACCCAUUCGUCCGCGGGCUGAUGUAUUAUUACGGGAUAGAUUUCCACGAUCUGUCCCCGAACUCCUUCCUCAACAUCUCGGCGUUUAUCGUUGUGUGUGAGGCCUUCCUCUGCAUCCAACCCCACUUCAAGUUGUGGCUCAAAGUCUUCAACAUGAAGCCGAAGGUGGUGGAUGGCCAGCACGCGGAGUGCGGAGGAGCCAUGGUGAGUAGGCUGUCCAACGUCUCCUGGCUGAAAGGCACUUUCGUGGAUACAGUAAAGGAGUGGCAGAAACAGUGGUUCUACAUCACAGAACCCCGUGACACCACCUGGGCUGCAGCUGCCAAAUUCCGCUCCGGCGCUCCCAUGCGACUCACCUCCUGGGUCGAGAAGAGUCCGAACUGGUGUUCGCCCGAUGAGCUGAUAGCGCUGCAGACGCGUGUUCAAAGCAUGAUAGCCAAGAACGUCAAGCUUGUCGAUGUAAUCAAGGUGAUGCUAGUUCGCCGGAUCCUCCCGUGCCAGCGCCGAAGCCGCCCUCUGUGGGAGUUCAAUCCGAAGAAGCACCAAACCCUGGUGAGGCUCUUCGAAACCACUCACGAAGGUGCCUGGAAGUUGCUCUUUAAGGGCAACAAAAAACCGCCGGCCACAGAUUCAGACCGUGGGCACGACAUUAAACACCUCGCUAGCGAGGUAUGUUAUUUUUAACGUAUCCCCUACUUGUUUGUUUCAAGGAUGAUGUCUGAGCUUUUACGAUUGCUUAUUCAAGACUGGAUGGAGAGGGCGAAGCGGAUCCAGUGUCCGGCUCCGCUGCCUGAAGAACCAGUCAUCCCGCGUCUAGCGAAGAUGCUGGUGCCGACACCCUAUAAGGCGCCGGAGAAGAAGGCCAAGGGGGCCAAAAGUGGCCCCCGUCGCAAGGGUGCUUCGGACGUGACGUCCGAAGAUGAAGAAGCCCAUUCCUCCGUCCCUGAGGACGACGACGAGGAAGAGGAGGAGGAGGAGGAGAAGAACCCUCCCCCUGAGGAGGGAAAGAAGAAGAGGGCGGCUUCCAGGAAUCUGGAGGCGGGAACGCCCAAGAAGGGGAAGGGCGCCCUUGCGGUCAACACCGCGUGGGACGUCGACAGCAGUCCGGAGCGACGCCCCCGCACUAAACCUCGGGCCGCAUCGUAAGUACUAUGACUCAUGUAUACCCGCAUAUCCGGCCUCUCCUUUUUAUCGUUUUGAUGUGGUUAAUUGUGCUAUUGCAGUCCGGCCCGCGAUAGUAUCCAUCGAUCCUCAUCUGGAGGUUCACUGGGUCCGGCAGAAAUGGCCAGCAUGUCACCGCCGACCGCUCAUUCCCCCGAGGCCAAGGUCGACACCGAAGUGUUGUCCCGGAGGACCGCUCCAAGCCGGGGAGGGGCCCAGGACGCUGUCCAGGAGGCGCCGCAAGGCGAGACCUCCGUCGCCGGACACAUGGAGACUGGCGAGGAGGGACGUAUUUAGUUCGGGCCUCAGUCGAAUACCAUUCCGAGGCCCAUACGGCCGCGGAAUCCGGCGAGCACCUUCCUUCGAAGGAGGAAGGUGCGCCAAUUCCACCGGUGGCCCCUGUCCAACCAGGGGCACCGGAUAACCUGAUGGAGGCGCUACGAGGCGCCUCCAUUGUGGACGAGCACCGUGUCCUUAUGGGUACAGUGAUCGAGAAGAUUCAGUCCAUCAAGAACGGACUAAAUCAAGCCUGCAACAACCUGUUGAUAGGUUUUGAGGUAAGCAACGUAGAAAGAGAAAAACCCCAUGCAGAUAGUAGCCCCUGAGACACUGUCCGGUGUUCGGAAAGAAAGGCCAGACAAAGGAUCAAUCCCUUGUUGCAGGAGACUAACUUGAUAUGUAUGAAUAACUAGGCGUCACUGUUGGCCGCGACCUCGCAUACUGCCGAAGCCUCUGAACUGAAGCAGAGGUUGGAGCGGGCCGAGAACGAGCUCGGCGAGGUGAAGAUUCAGCUCCAGGAGAAACAAGGUAUGUAACGACUUGCUGUAUAUUCGGGAAGAAUAAAAUGGUGUAUAUUGACCGUAGUGUCGUGAUAUGUGUAGGAGCAGCGACCGAGGUCGAGGCCCUAAAAAAGGCACUGGCUGAAGCCGAGGGGAAGGCUGUCCUGUAGCAAGCCGCCCGUAAGAAGCUCAAGGCCCGGGUCAACAAGGUCCAGCAGGAGCUCCAGGAUGUGGUGAAGAGGUGCGAAGCCUUGGAGCGCGAGGCGUCGGUUCAAGAGACCGAACUUACCAAGGCUCGCCAGAGCGCGGAGGCCGCAUGGAAUGAGGCCUGGGACGCUCUCCAGGAGAUCCAGGAGGCCAAGAAGAUCGCAACGGGUAAGGCAUUUAACAUGCAAAGCAAGUAUGCGGAGAGGAAGUACCUUUUACUAACCCGGAUUCGGAGUUGCCCAGGGGUUUCUGCGGAUCUACCACGCAGCGUGUCCGAUGUUGCGGAGUUCUUCCGAGCCAAAGAAGGCAAUUCCAUGGAGAAGCUGUUCUGGUCACAGUAUGCUGCGCCAGAACAUCCGGUGCCUUUUGCCGAUCAGCUGAAACAGUUGGUCAAGCUGCACAGGGUGGCCGAACUGGCCAUGAAGGAUUUAAUAAUCCAGCUGUGGCCAGCCGAAGCUAUACCCAGCAGUUAUUUUGGCCUCAUGAAGCGGGUGGUGGAGGCCUGUCUGCGGCUAGACAUCGUCAAGCGAUCAGUCUGCAUCGAAGGUGCACGCAUGGCCUUCGCCCGUUGCAAGAUGUGGUGGGCGAAGAUGGAUGUCGUCGAGGUGGCCAGGGGGCCGCUAGAGGGCAAGGAGCACCGCACACCCGAGCACUAUUUUGCGGAUGUCCUAGAGGGGUCUCGACUUGCAGCAGCGCAAUGCGGGCAAGACAUUAUUUUCGAAUGAGUAUAUUUGUGUUGUCUUUGCCUUGUAUGAUGAAAACAAAGCCGGUUUGUAAUAUAAUGUUUGUUAUGUUUUAAUUGUUUCCUCCUGUGCGGCCGUGUUGUAUGGAAUCCGAGGGUUGGCCAGUCGUCGGCUUCUGCCCUCUCGUAGGUAGUACGGAGGUGUUCGGGAUGGAAUCUAAACAAUCUUGAUCCAAUUAUAUGGUCCUUGAAGGAGUUGCUUAGCGCAACGAACCAGGCAAUCAGACUAUGCGGCUUAAAUGCCCUCACUUAGCCAUAGGAGUUUUAUAAUAAAACAUGGGCACAGCCCCUGGUAUACGAACCAGAGUGCUGUCAGCGUCUGAUCGGGAGGUACCAAUCCUUCGCGUAAUGCGGAAAAAAUCUCCAGCGAUUUGUAACCUCCGAACAGCUGACCGGCUCUCGCCGCAUCAUGACAGUUAGUUUUCGGCUUUCUCUACUGAGGUGCUCAUCCGGUUUAGACCAGGGCACAAUCGCAGUAGUUCUCCCUUUACUACCCUAGCCGAUGUAGCGGAAUGUAGGGUAGCAAGCACAGGAGCCGGGCAACCCAACUAUUGACCAAAGACAUGAUUUGGAGCCAAUGCAUAUAAUGCUAAAUUCGGGGUGCCGAACUUAUCUAUAAGAAGUUCGGACUUUGUUGCCGUAUUAUGGGGCGAUGGGGAGCCCCUCAUAAAUAUGAAACGUACCAAAGUGUACGGGUGCUAGAAGAGAAAUAAUUAAUGGUAAAAGGAAAACAGAAAGAGAGGAGAGGUAGUAUCUGGGGCUCUUGAACUUGGGCCGUGAACUGUUUCCAUUAUAAUUGGGUUAAUGCGUUAAAGCGCAUUGAUACAAAUAGUGCGAUAAGCCACCGACUAUUUAACAUGCCAUAACCAAAGGCGAGCUGCAUUUGGGUCCUGAAAACCGGUAGAGUAAUCGUUGGAUUGUCCUCUAGAGCUUCCCCUGUAUGCAUGUGCUCUGUGCCAAUCUGGUGUACUUGUCCUUUGACAGGACCAGUGAUCAGGCCAUCAAAGGAGGCCUGUAUAAAAGAGACCUGAGAAAGGGGAAAAGGAAAUAGUAAAGGUACAAGUGAGUCCGGGAUCGGUGUAGCCGAACUGUGGACAACAAGCUAGUUGUGCCUCCGUUGAUGCCCAUGGGAUUUUGAGUGCGUAAUUAUGUACGCGUGGUAUGAAUGCCACUACCUCAUCGGGACUGGGACGGAGGCCGAAUUGCUAAUCGAGCUCUUGACGAGCCAAGCUGUCCUGUUGCAGUGUGGUCCGGACCCUCUAAGUGAUGUCCAGGGGCUCGGCAGCCGGAUUAUAGUUCUGCUUGAGAAGGCCGCUCUGUACCUCUACUGCUAGGGCGGCUGUGUGCUCCUCUGUAAGGAGGGAGCGUUCUGUGUUUCCAUUGACUGUUAUGACGCCGCGUGGACCUGGCAUCUUAAGCUUGAGAUAAGCAUAGUGUGGCACCGCAUUGAAUCUAGCAAACACGGUUCGUCCGAGCAGUGCGUGGUAGCCGCUGCGAAAGGGGGCGAUAUCGAAGAUUAGCUCUUCGCUUCGGAAGUUGUCCGGGGAACCGAAGACCACCUCCAGCGUGAUUGAGCCCGUACAACGGGCCUCUACGCCUGGUAUGACUCCUUUAAAGGUAGUCUUUGUGGGCUUGAUUCGUGAGGGAUUAAUGCCCAUUUUGCGCAUUGUAUCCUGAUAGAGCAGGUUGAGGCUACUACCACCGUCCAUUAGGACUUGUGUCAGGUGAAAUCCGUCGAUGAUUGGGUCAAGGACCAGUGUGGCCGAACCGCCAUGAAGGAUACCAGUUGGAUGAUCUCGACGAUCAAAGGUGAUCGGCAAGGACGACCACGGAUUGAAUUUUGGGGCGACUGGCUCUACCGCAUAGACGUCCCUGAGUGCGCGCUUGCGCUCCCUUUUGGGGAUGUGUAUAGCAUAUGUCAUGUUCACCGUUUUGACUUGACGGGGAAAUUUCUUCUGCCCCCCAGUGUUCGGCUGCCGGGGCUCUUCGUCAUCGUCCUCACUUUGUGAUCCCUUUUCCUUGUUCUCGGCAUUUAACUUGCCAACCUGUUUAAAAACCCAACAAUCUCUGUUGAUAUGAUUGGCUUGUUUGUCUGGGGUGCCAUGUAUCUGACACGGACGGUCGAGUAUGCGGUCCAAGCUAGAUGGUCCCUCGCUGUUCCUUUUAUAGGGCUUCUUCCGCUGGCCAGACUUGGAGCCACUGAAUCCGGCGUUAACUGUAGUGUCAUCGGUGUUAUCGCCAUUGCUUUGGCGUUUGUGUCUAUUGUGCUGGAGCUUGCCGGUGCUGUUUUUGGCCUCGGAGGGGCCUGCCUCGCUGGCUGUGUUUUUGCUACGAGCCAGCCAGCUAUCCUCACCUGUGCAAAAGCGGGUCAUGAGUGUCGUGAGGGCUGCCAUAGACUCUGGCUUUUCUUGGCCGAGGUGGCGGGCGAGCCAUUCGUCACGGAUGCUAUGUUUAAAGGCCGCUUGGGCUUCGGCAUCCGGAGAGUCAACUAUUUGGUUCUUCUUGGUUAGGAACCUAGUCAAGAAUUUUCUGGCUGAUUCUCCAGGCUGUUGGACUAUGUGACUUAGGUCAUCGGCGUCUGGUGGCCGGACAUAAGUACCUUGGAAGUUGUCAAGAAAAGCUUCUUCCAAGUCCUCCCAGCUGCCGAUGGAAUUUUCAGGCAGGCUAUUUAACCAGUGUCGAGCUGGCCCUUUGAGUUUUAGUGGGAGGUAGUUGAUGGCGUGGAGGUCGUCUCCACGGGCCAUAUGGAUGUGGAGAAUAAAAUCCUCGAUCCAUACUGCGGGACCGGUUGUUCCGUCGUAUGAUCCAAUAUUUACGGGCUUGAACCCCUCGGGGAAUUCAUGAUCCAUUACUUCAUCUGUUAAGCAAAGAGGGUGUGCGGCGUCUCUAUAUCGGGCCGCGUCACGGCGCACCUCCGAUGAAGUCCACCUGCGAUUAUCGGCCCGGGCGUGACUAGGUUUGUCACGUCCGAAUAGGUAGCCGUCGUCGUGAGUCGAAAAGCGUCCUCGCGGUCCGUAGAUUGAUCUGGUGUGUCCUGCUCUACUGUCUAGGUCCUGCCGAAGGUCGUAUGUAUAGUCCCGAGCUGUUUUGUCUCUAUUUUUACGAGGCAGUGGGGCGGGCUGCGUGUUCGGCCUGAGUUGCCGUUUUAUCCCGACCGCAGGGUGGUCGGUCCGCCGCACUGUCCCGACCACGUGGUGGUCGUUCCGCAUUGCGCGAGGGAGGUAUGGGCUCCGGCGCCUCCUCAUCGAACUAAGGUAGCAAUCUGCGCUUCAGGUAACUCUUGGCUGGACGCUUGAGGCCAUAUUCUUCGGCUGCCAUGACAUCAGUCCAUCUGUCAAUGAGUAGGUCUUGAUCAGCUUGAAGCUGCUGCUGCUUCUUCUUCAGGCUUCUUGCAGUAGCUAUUAGCUGGCGCUUGAAGCGCUCCUGCUCGAGGGGUGCCUCAGGCAUGAUGAAAUCCUUGUUGCCGAGGCUCUCCUCAUCCUCGGAGAGUGGACGAUAACUAUCGUCAUUCGAGUCGUUGGGCCUGGCUUGUUUAUCAGGGUUAACUUGCCCGUUUUCUUGUUCCUCCUGUUCGGAUGUUGCUCCAACAGGGUCUUCAUUGUUUUCGGCGUCGUCCGGAGUACUAUUUUCUCUGGUGCCAGUGUUACUGUCUUUUGAGCGACGUGACUUAGAAUGGCGUUUAGGGCGCUGGCGCUUGGACUGUGUCUCAGGAGGUUUAUUCUCAACUGGAUUUUCUUUGUCAUCGUCGCUAGCUUUUUAGGUGUAUCAACCAUGUACACAUCAUACGAAGAGGUGGCCGUCCAACGUCCAGUGAAUGGCGGGUCUUGGCCUUGCUCCUUGUCGGCAUCGUCAUCCAUACCACCGAUGCCUUCGGAGCCAUAAUCAAGCAUGUCGGUUAAGUCCUCGACAGUGGUUAUGAAGUGGGUGGUGGGUGGGAGGCGAAAUUCUCCAUCAUCAGCCUCUGGUUCGAACCGGACAUAGUUCGGCUGUGAGUCCCCCGCCAAGGAUAGGUUCUUUAAUGAAUUUAGCACAUCGCCCAAGGGCGACUGUUGGAAGAUGUCUGUGGCGCUGAACUCGAAGAUUGAUAACCGAUCCAGCUCGGUGUCCACAGGCAUACGUGGUUCGGAAAUUGUAGCCGGAAACGAGUCCGGAAUUCCGUUGACGCAGAUAUUGCAAGGUGUUGAGUCUGUGUGCGGCUCUGACGCCGUGGGCUCUGUGGCCUCGGAUGGCGUGAUCUGCUCCGGAUCUAAGGCCGUAGCAGUUGCAGGAACCAUCUCCUGAAUGUGGUCCGAUGACAGAUUUAAGUCAUGUUCAUCGGAGCGAGAGGGAGCGAUUGUCGCGGUCCCAAAUCCGUCGAAGAUCAGGUCUCCACGGAUGUCCGCGACGUAGUUCAAGAUUCCGAAUCUGACCUGAUGGCCAAGGGCGUAGCUAUCGAUCUGCUUCAGAUGGCCAAACGAGUUGGCCCGCAGUACGAAGCUGCCGAAUACGAAGAUCUGUCCGGGAAGGAAGGUUUCCCCAUGGACAGCUUCACUAUGGAGGACAGAAGGAGCCAUGAGACCUAUUGACGACGGCACAGUGAAACUCUCAAUGAAAGCACCAAUGUCGGUGUCAAAACCGGCGGAUCUCGGGUAAGGGGUCCCGAACUGUGCGUCUAAGGUCGAUGGUAACAGGAGACAGGGGACACGAUGUUUACCCAGGUUCGGGCCCUCUCUAUGGAGGUAAUACCCUACUUCCUGCUUGAUUGAUCUUGAUGAAUAUGAGUAUUACAAGAGUUGAUCUACCACGAGAUCGUAAUGGCUAAACCCUAGAAGUCUAGCCUAUAUGACUAUGCUAAUGAGUAUAUCCCUUCCGGACUACACCCUCCGGUUUAUAUAGACACCGGGGGGAUCUAGGGUUAUAUAGAGUCGGUUGCAUAGGAAGGAAUCUUCAUAGUUGAUCGCCAAGCUUGCCUUCCACGCCAAGGAGAGUCCUAUCCGGACCCGGGUACGGUCUUCAGCCUUCGUGUCUUCACAGCCCAUCAGUCCGGCCCAUGGAUAACAGGCCGGACGCCCGAGGACCCCUUAGUCCAGGACUCCCUCACUCCUCCGUCGUAGUACUACUCCAGUGAAAAACUUGAGUAUACCGCACGGUUCUUUGCUCCUACUCAGGUCGUCGGCACAUUUAUACGAGCAGUCAAAUCACAAGGCCUCGCCUUCCAGCAGUAAUGAGCCGUCAAAUCACAAAGGUCCUCGCCUCUCGUGAAAAGGACCAAGCUAGACUGCCCUGCCCUCUAGCCUUUUAAAAAAUGUAUACAUUUGUACAGUAGUAGUAUUGAUGGAUUGCGCCAUGGAGCAAAACUAACAAGAUGAAAUUAAAGAAAAAAGGUGGUACAUAUAGAGAGCGCUCAUCACUAAAUUAUGCAUAUACUAUAUGACACUACCCACUAUGAAGGUACUAGUAACAUAGACUAGUAACUAGUCUAUGUUACUCUCCACUAUGACCAGCCAAAGUCGAGGCGCGGAUACCAAUGAGGGCCUGGUUGUGUAUAUACUUGGACAACUCACCCGACUGCAUUCGCACCAGGCAGACGAAGCUCGUGUCGUGUUGCUGCCGUGUGCGGCCCGCACAUUAACCAAAACCUCGCGCCUCCAUCUUAGCCUCCGCGUUUUAAACUUCUCAAUCUCAAGGCCAAGGAGCAACGUGAAACCUAUGAUAGAGCCAAUCGGAUGGUUGAGAACACUACAAUUCGUAGCUACAUAUGCGUGUGUCAGAGAGGACGAGUGCGUGCAUGCACCUCUUCUCAGAGUACAAGUGUAUGUGGGUGGCAUCGACCUAGGGAGCAGUGAUGGUGCGUGCGAGAAGUCCCGAGAGAUAGGUGUAAUGCGUCUGAAAAAAAAGACUAGUCUAUAGCUCGCCAUGAGGCUAUUCCUGUCGAAUGCCAAGCGUAAGAUAUGUAUCUGACGGUGCCAGUUUUUGCACGUACACAUAAGUAGAAAAAGAACUAGUACCAUGGCAUAUGCUACACCACGGCCGAGAAAACGUGCCGACGUUACGCCAUCCAGGAAUAGUGCCGCACUUCGAAACUAGAACCGUCAAUAAAUUUUGAGCGCGUCUCGUGAUAACCCACAAGUAUAGGGGAUCAAUUGUAGCCUCUUUUGAUAAGUAAGAGUGUCGAACCCAACGAGGAGCUAAAGGUAGAACAAAUAUUCCCUCAAGUUCUAUCGACCACCGAUACAACUCUACGCACGCUUAACGUUCGCUUUACCUAGAACUGUUGGGGAACGUAGUAAUUUCAAAAAUUUCCUACGCACACGCAAGAUCAUGGUGAUGCAUAGCAACGAGAGGGGAGAGUGUUGUCCACGUACCCUCGUAGACCGAAAGCGGAAGCGUUAACACAACGCGGUUGAUGUAGUCGUACGUCUUCAUGAUUCGACCGAUCAAGUACCGAACGCACGUCACCUCUGAGUUCAGCACACGUUCAGCUCGAUGACGUCCCUCGAACUCCGAUCUAGCCGAGUGUUGAGGGAGAGUUUCGUCAGCACGACGGCGUGGUGACGAUGAUGAUGUUCUACCGAUGCAGGGCUUCGCCUAAGCACCGCUACGAUAUUAUCGAGGUGUAAUAUGGUGGAGGGGGGCACCGCACACGGCUAAGAGAUCAAUGAUCAAUUGUGUGUCUAGAGGUGCCCCCUUGCCCCCGUAUAUAAAGGAGCNNNNNNNNNNNNNNNNNNNNNNNNNNNNNNNNNNNNNNNNNNNNNNNNNNNNNNNNNNNNNNNNNNNNNNNNNNNNNNNNNNNNNNNNNNNNNNNNNNNNNNNNNNNNNNNNNNNNNNNNNNNNNNNNNNNNNNNNNNNNNNNNNNNNNNNNNNNNNNNNNNNNNNNNNNNNNNNNNNNNNNNNNNNNNNNNNNNNNNNNNNNNNNNNNNNNNNNNGGUUCGGCCGGCCAAGGGGAGAGGCGCGCCAGGAGGAGUCCUACUCCUACCGGGAGUAGGACUCCCCCCUUUUCCAUGUUGGACUAGGAGAGAGAGGGGAAAGAGGUGGAGGGGAGGAAGGAAAGGGGGGGCGCCGCCCCCUUCUCCUUGUCCUAUUCGGACUGGGGGGGGAGGGGCGUGCGGCCCUGCCCUGGCCUCCUCUCCUCUCUUCCACCUAGGCCCACUAAGGCCCAUUAAGUUACCGGGGCGUUCUGGUAACCUCCCGGUACUCCGGAAAAAUCCCGAUUUUACCCGGAACACUUCCGAUGUCCAAACAUAGGCUUCCAAUAUAUCAAUCUUUAUGUCUCGACCAUUUCGAGACUCCUCGUCAUGUCCGUGAUCACAUCCGAGACUCCGAACAACCUUCGGUACAUCAAAACAUAUAAACUCAUAAUAUAACUGUCAUCGUAACGUUAAGCGUGCGGACCCUACGGGUUCGAGAACUAUGUAGACAUGACUGAGACACCUCUCCGGUCAAUAACCAAUAGCGGAACCUGGAUGCUCAUAUUGGUUCCCACAUAUUCUUCGAAGAUCUUUAUCGGUCAGACUGCAUAACAACAUACGUUGUUCCAUUUGUCAUCGGUAUGUUACUUGCCCGAGAUUCGAUCGUCGGUAUCUCGAUACCUAGUUCAAUCUCGUUACCGGCAAGUCUCUUUACUCGUUCCAUAAUACAUCAUCCCGCAACUAACUCAUUAGUCACAAUGCUUGGAAGGCUUAUAGUGAUGUGUAUUACUGAGUGGGCCCAGAGAUACCUUUCCGACAGUCGGAGUGACAAAUCCUAAUCUCGAAAUACGCCAACCCAACAAGUACCUUUGGAAGCACCUGUAGAGCACCUUUAUAAUCACCCAGUUACGUUGUGACGUUUGGUAGAACACAAAGUGUUCCUCCGGUAAACAGGAGUUGCAUAAUCUCAUAGUCAUAGGAACAUGUAUAAGUCAUGAAGAAAGCAAUAGCAACAUACUAAACGAUCGAGUGCUAAGCUAACGGAAUGGGUCAAGUCAAUCACAUCAUUCUCCUAAUGAUGUGAUCCCGUUAAUCAAAUGACAACUCAUGUCUAUGGCUAGGAAACAUAACCAUCUUUGAUCAACGAGCUAGUCAAGUAGAGGCAUACUAGUGACACUCUGUUUGUCUAUGUAUUCACACAUGUAUCAAGUUUCCAGUUAAUACAAUUCUAGCAUGAAUAAUAAACAUUUAUCAUGAUAUAAGGAAAUAAAUAAUAACUUUAUUAUUGCCUCUAGGGCAUAUUUCCUUCAGUCUCCCACUUGCACUAGAGUCAAUAAUCUAGUUCACAUCGCCAUGUGAUUUAACAUCAAUAGUUCACAUCACCAUGUGAUUAACACCCAUAGUUCACAUCGUCAUGUGCCCAACACCAAAAGGGUUUACUAGAGUCAGUAAUCUAGUUCACAUCGCUUAUGUGAUUAACACCCAAAGAGUACUAAGGUGUGAUCAUGUUUUGCUUGUGAGAUAAUUUUAGUCAACGGGUCUGUCACAUUCAGAUCCGUAAGUAUUUUGCAAAUUUCUAUGUCUACAAUGCUCUGCACGGAGCUACUCUAGCUAAUUGCUCCCUCUUUCAAUAUGUAUCUAGACCGAGACUUAGAGUCAUCUAGAUUAAUGUCAAAACUUGCAUCGACGUAACCCUUUAUGACGAACCUUUUGUCACUUCCAUAAUCGAGAAACAUAUCCUUAUUCCAGUAAGGAUAAUUUUGACCGCUGUCCAGUGAUCUACUCCUAGAUCACUAUUGUACUCCCUUGCCAAAAUCAGUGUAGGGUAUACAAUAGAUCUGGUACACAGCAUGGCAUACUUUAUAGAACCUAUGGCCGAGGCAUAGGGAAUGACUUUCAUUCUUUUUCUAUCUUCUGCCGUGGUCGGGCUUUGAGUCUUACUCAAUUUCACACCUUGUAACACAGGCAAGAAA